CAGUGCAAAAAAUCAAGCUAUCUUAACCAUUAAUUUUGCUCCAGUAAAACUCUUUAAAGAAAACUAGAUCAAUCUGAACAGCAGGAUGAUUUUUUCCUAGUGGCAACGGGGUUAGAUAUAUCCAUCCUAUCUGAACCUAACAUCCAAUCCAUUUGUCUCCAUACAAAUAUAAAGCAGAGAUCUACAAGCAUGCACACUUUGCUAAGUGUUUCAUUUUUUCCCCUCUUGCGUCCGUUAAGUUCUUCUCUAUUUGGAUCAUGACGUUCAACAAAAGAGAGUCAACGUACCUCAGUUCAAGUCACUAAGCAGGAAAAAAAUAACAACAGCAGCCAAGAUCUGCUGAUGCUCUGUAGAGUGCAGACACAACAGGACAGAGGCGCACUGUAUAUAUAUCCAUGGCCUUCUCAUUUACAGAGAUCUUCUCUAAGGUAUGACAACAUUAACAAAUAGGGGUUCAGGAAUCAAAUUAUCAGUUUCAUAGGGAGUUAGCAUUUAGCAACAGGCGUACUACAGAAAACAACCAACACCAUCUUAGGAAAAGAACAUCGAAACAGGAAGUACUACUAGCUUACAUGUAGGGUGAUAACUUUGUUGUGCCAUACAUUGUAAUCAAUUUCCAUAGCCCCUUUUUGUUCAUGUAAAUCUGAAAUUAGUUGGCACUUCCCCUUUGCAAGCUGUUGCAUAGUUUUCAGCAAGGUGUGAGGGCAUAUGAACUUCUCCACAAAUACCUUCUCGCUCAGCAUGACUAUGCUAUAGUAGUCCCGGUACUGACCUAACAAUCCAUUUGCCUUAAGGAACUUGAUAACAUAGUACCUGGGUCUGAGUCGGCCCUCCAUGCUAUAAGAGAGCAAUGCCGGACGAUGUGCAACUUACGCUGGUUCCAGCCCCACCUCAGAGAGGAGGAACUCAGACUUUUGCUGCAGUGUUGCAUUUGACUUCCUCAGCAGAUUCGGAGCCUUACAGACAGCAAUGCUCACUUGGGCAUCAGACCACCUGAAGGUAUUCUUCAAGUAGUCCACUUUGGCGGCAAUCUUCUCCUCGCUGAGAAAUGCGACAGCCUGCAGUGCCUGCCUGAACAUCCCAGAGCCACGGGGCACGCCUAUACCUUGGGCACAUGCCACCAUGGCCCGAACACGCUCCGGGUUGGUGGUGAGCAUCCUCGGCACAGAGACGCACAGCUUGGCAAUAUCACAAUCACCUAGCCCGCAGUCCCUUAGGAACACGGCAUUGGGCUUGACCACCUUGUCGAGGUCGGCCGACAGAAGGUGGGUUUCGCGCUUGAGCAUCCGGAGUAAGUUGUCCAAUGAGCCGAAGAGGGGCAGGUAGUACUGCACCUUGGAGACGACGGAUCUGCAGCGGAAGGCACUGUGAACAAGCGAGACGAGGCCGCCAAUCUCGGAACGCGACAGGCGGAGGCCGGUGAGCCCGUCGACGACGGGGAGCAGGGUUCUCUCCACGCCGGCGCAGAGGAAAAGCGGGUCUUUGGCGACGACGGCGGCGACAUCGGCGCGGGAGAGGCCGAGGCCGGAGAGGAAGGAGAGGACGGCGUUGGGGUUGGCGGGGGACUUGAGGUGGGAGAGCUUGGUGGAGGCCUUGAGCGCCUGGGGCCGGGUGAGGCCGCAGGUGUCAACGAGGUAGUCCUCGACGGCGAAUCCACCGGGGUUUGGAGAAAUGGCGGCCGCGGCAGCGGAGAGGAGGCGACGGAGUGCGGAUGUGGCAGGGGCGGAGGGUGAAGAGAGGAGAUGGGAAACGAUGGAUUCUCGCACGCGGAGCAUGCCGGCGGCGGCGGCGGCGGCGCGGUGGCGACGGAGAUAUUUUUGUGUGUCGUCCUCUCAGUCAGGAAGGGGAAAAUGUGGCUGCCUAUGAGAAUGGGCUGUAAUUUUUGGUUGGUUAUCAUGCGCGGGUGGGCUCUAAUUUGGUGCCAACUUUGGGCCUUGCAGCUCCGUCUGUUAGGGGUUGAGAACCAAGAAGACAUAAGAGAGUUUUCAAUUACUCCCUCCGUCUCGUAAUAUUAUAUUUAAUAUGUAAACAAUUACAUCCAAUAUACUCACAUAUUGAAUGUAGUAAUGUCUUAUAUUAUAGAACGGAGGGAGUACCUUUUUAUUCUUUACCGAGUACGAAAUAAUCAACUACGAAGGUGUUUGGAUUAGAGAGUGGCAACGCAAAGGGAGUUAGAUCACACUCGUAUUAGGGAUUUAACGUCAUACUCUGUUUUUGUUUGGUACAUGUGUUAGUAAAGGAAUCCAGCUAUGACCGAAGCACUGCUGCUGCGACGGCGGCGACGACGAUCGACANNNNNNNNNNNNNNNNNNNNNNNNNNNNNNNNNNNNNNNNNNNNNNNNNNNNNNNNNNNNNNNNNNNNNNNNNNNNNNNNNNNNNNNNNNNNNNNNNNNNNNNNNNNNNNNNNNNNNNNNNNNNNNNNNNNNNNNNNNNNNNNNNNNNNNNNNNNNNNNNNNNNNNNNNNNNNNNNNNNNNNNNNNNNNNNNNNNNNNNNNNNNNNNNNNNNNNNNNNNNNNNNNNNNNNNNNNNNNNNNNNNNNNNNNNNNNNNNNNNNNNNNNNNNNNNNNNNNNNNNNNNNNNNNNNNNNNNNNNNNNNNNNNNNNNNNNNNNNNNNNNNNNNNNNNNNNNNNNNNNNNNNNNNNNNNNNNNNNNNNNNNNNNNNNNNNNNNNNNNNNGUGGGUUUCUAAAUAAAAGGAAUUUAAAGAAGUCAUGGAUUUGAAAAAAAAAUCACCAACAUGAAAAACAGUUCAUGAAUUUGAAAAAAAAGUUCACCAAUUGGAGAAAAUCUUCAUGAAGGUUGGAAAAAUUAGCUACUUUGAAAAAUGUUCACAAAUUUGAAAAAAGUUCUGGAAAUAUAAAAAAAUCAGAAUUUAAGAAGAUGUUCACAUGUUUGAAAAAAUCAUAAUUUAUGUAAAGUUUAUGAAUUUGAAAAAAGAUUGCAGAUUUGAAAUUGUUCAUGAAAAAUUAAAAAUAAGCUCAUGAUUUUGAUAACUGUUCGUGAUUUCCGAAAAUGUUCAGAAAAGAAAAUUUAAAAAGCUAAUGAAAUAAUUUAAAAGGAGAAAAUAAAAAGAAGAAAACAAACUAAAAAUAAAAAAUGAAAACCCAACAAAACCGAACACAAAAUAUGGUAAUAUAGAAAAACCAAUCAAAAAAUUGGUCAGAGGAGUGGUAUUUUGCCACAACCCACUUAGAUCUAGUGAAAGGGGGGCGCGCUAUAUGGCUUUGCCUCAAUUUGGGGCUAAUAGGAUUUGCCGAUUUGGUGAGCCUAUAGCUUUAUGACUCAAUGGGGUUUAUUUAGCUACCUUGAAUGGUUCUAAAAAAGGCUUUCUUGAAUUAAUGAGUUUAUUUAUGCCCAUAUGGACUUUUUUUAGUAAAGUGCCAUACGACGCAUUUUAAUGAUUCAAAUAAUAGUUACAUCAUUGAAAAUAUCCAGUCGCAAAAAUCUAGGGGGUGGUCAUUGUCCCAAUACAAGUUUGCAUUAGAAUCGCACGAAUACCUAGACAGUUUGUGCACCACUGUAUUUGCCUCCCGGGACAAUGAACAAAAGAAGUCAAACCAAUUUUUAAAGCUUACGAAAAAAAUGUCUAUCAAGAUGGCCUUACACGGGUUCCAAAUCUCCAGACAACCAUUGCAAGCUUGGAUCAGUUCGAGGGAAUCACAUUCAACUAUGAUAUCCGUGCAUCCAAGAUUCUCAACUAGUCCCAAACCCUUUUGUACCUCCAUUGCUUAAGAAGUUGCAAAAGACAUUGCAAGAUUGCUCCAGAAUGAACUAAUCAAUAGAAGUUUGAUUCAGCCUGAGAAAACACAUUAUGGGGAGGUACUUGCUUGUAGAGUACAUGAUAUAAUGCUCGAUUUGAUUCUAAGAAAGUGUGCAUAAGACAAUUUUACCAUUGUAGCAUAUGACUAUGAAGAUAUGGCAAGAUUGCACAGCUGUGAGCACAAGGUUCUUCAAAUAUCCUUGAAUCAAGUGUUGAUGGUGCACAUCAGACAACCUUGAUACUAGCAUGUCACAGGUUCAAUCAUAUCACUACAAAAAAAAUACACUUCCGUGAUGAUACGUGUUUGUCACAAUAGGUCGCGUUUUUUGUCAUGCAUGUACAUCCAUGAUGAUUUUAUGACAGAAUCAAUAUAGUCAUACAUGUGCUGUCGUAGAAGUGAUCCAUGACAUUACCAAAAUUAUCAUCAUGGAAGUGUCCACUUCCAUGACGAUAAAUCGUGCGUGACAGAAGUGCUUUCGUCAAGGGUGACCGACACGUGGCAUCCACCGUAAUGGAACGCAGUAAAGCUAUCGAGUCCGGUUUUGGAUCUGAUAACCCGUUAACAGCCCGGACCAAUGGGGAUUUUCCACGUGUAAAAUCAUCAUUGGUCGCAGGAAACACGUGUUGCCUCACCGUUGGGACAGAUGUCAUCCGCUCAUUGGACAGAAGGCGCCUAUGAUAGGUCGACACAUGGCACGACCCAACAGUGGCUCAUUCCGGUGAAAAAGACCGUCCCAGUAAAAAUUAGCAGGCCGACCCAUAUAAGUCCUACUUGUGUCAGGUCCAUUUAAGCCCACGGCCCAUACGAGAUGUGCCAGUUCGGCCUGUCAAUGACCCAUUAAAGAUUGACACUAUUGCAGCCCAUCGUCAGUUCGAGCCCGUUAACAGCCCGCUAUAUAUUUGGGCUCAAUAUCGGCCCGAUGAGAUUUCGGCCUGUUAACGGCCCAUUCAAUGAAUGGGCCAAUUUUCAAGAUGUACAUCUUUCGGCCUUUUAGCGGCCCAUUUAAAUGUUGGGCUAAUUUCUGGCCCGGUGUGUCUUUCAGCCUGUUGACGGCCCAUAAAUCAGAUGGGUCAUUUGUAGUCGGACCUGAGUUUCGGCCUUUUAGCAGCCCAUUUAAGUGUUGGGCCGAUUUUCGGUCCGGUGUCUCUUUCAGCCUGUUGACGGCCCAUACAUCAGUUGGGCCAUUUGUAGUCGGACAUGAGUUUUGGCCUUUUAGCGACCCAUUUAAGUGUUGGGCCAAUUCCCGGCCCUGUGUGUCUUUCGGCCUGUUAACGGACCAUAAAUGAGUUGGGCCAUUUGUAGUCGGACCUUAGUUUUGGCCUUUUAACGGCCCAUGCCCUUCAUGGUCCAAUACCAGCCUGGUUUCCCUUUCAUCCUACUAAAGGCCCACAACACAGUUGGGCCAUUUACAAUAUGACCUGACUUUCGGCCUCUUAGCGGCCCAUGCUUUUCAUGGUCCAGUACAAGCCCGCUGUCUCUUUCGGCCUGCUAAAGGCCUACAGUAUAGUUGGGUCAUAUGUAGCCCAAACUUAGUAAUGGCCUAUUAACGGCCCGUGAAAUCAAUUGGGCCCACCUAUUGCCCGCUUCGAUGUCGGCCUGUUAACGACCCGGAAGGUAAGAGGGCCGACCAUUAACUUUCCACCUAGUAACGACCCAUUAACUUAAUGGGCCCACUAAAGUUCGUACAUGUCUUUAGGCCAAAUUAGAUAAUUUGAGCCCAUUAUGACGAGCAAUUAUGCACAGGACCAAAAUCGAUCAAGAAAAGGUACGACAUACAGGGAAUAAUGUUGCACAUCCAGCAUAUAUUAUAGGAAAUUACAUCCACUAGGCAAUCAAAGAUUGAUGCCAGUGCAAAUAAUUAAUGAGCAGAACCUAACCAUCUACAACGUCACAAUCUGCAACCUCAGCACAGAUGACGCCCAUAAGCAUGUGGGCAAGUUCUUGCUGCUUUGCUACACUGUCUCUGAAAACAUUGAUCAGUUGUUGUGUCGCACGACUCUGCGCCUUUGAUUCAUCCACCAUUUCCAUCAUUGCUUCAGCCAUUAAUUGGUUCACAAACAUACAUUUAUUCCGUUGCAUUCGAGACAAAGGAUACUGAACAGAUUCAGAUGGCGAUUUUGGCAAGCUUGUAUUAUUGAUAGCGAAGAGUGUCUCGACCACUGCAUCACAAUAUAAAUUAGGAGGGAAACCAAACAGAUUAAUCAUGAGUUAUUGCCAUAUUACCUGGCCUAGAGUUAUUGGAAAGAAACAAUGUGGUUGCCGUGCUGUUUUCAGAGUUUGUCUUCUUAUCUUCAGUAGCAUGCACCAAAUUAACACACUAGCAUUGCUAUCAUUGGCCAAAUCAGAUAAUAGGAAAGCAACAUUGACACAACAAACGUUUGGGAAACUAGACUACACCAAAUUAACACAAUAUGGCACAGCUAUCAUCAGCCAGGUAAGGUAAUACGAAAGCAACAUUGACACAAUGAAUGAAUGGGCAACCAGAGAAACACUACAAUUCAGUAAUGUGCAUGAUAUGAGAUAGUACACUCAUGCAACUCAGUAUGCAAAACUACCAGGCAGUUUUCCUUACAAAAAUCAACAUUGGCGCCUUUAACAUUUUGCUACAACUAAUUUUAGAUCAAAUAAAGGUUAGAUUCACGUCGAUUAACAAAAUACAUGCUGAUGUAAAAAUAUAGUGAUAUACAACAGGUACUUACAUCAGCAUUGGAGCAUAGAGAAUUCCCGCAAGAUAUUUUUCCUCGAAUACGAUCCCAAUGGAGGAAGUCUUCUAUCGUUUAACCUUAUUUUCUAAAAAAGAGAUGUGUAAGAAACAUGUAGAAAAUAUGAUCAGAAUGCUAUAAAAUUUCAUGAUGCGAGGAUACGCACACGUGCUUCUUAGAAUGGAGUUGACAUUCUUUUGCUGGACUGGAGUGGACUAGUUCUUUGGCUAAUGGAAUCUGCUUAUUAUUAGUGGGAGUUGGGUUUCUCUGUGCUGGAGCAGUAUCUAUGAAAAAUGGAGUUGGUUUAUUAUCUCCUGGCGUUUGGAUCUUUUGCAAAUACCUGGUUUAUAACCCUUCAGAUUCUAACAUAGCCGUCUUCCCCUUACAUGCCUUAUAUAGAAGAAUGGUGCUUCAGUUAUAAAACAUGCUACAUCAGAGAUGGAAUAGGUACUGAAGAAUAGAAAGGCAUGAAAUAUUGACAUGUAUUUCCUCCAUCCUGAAAUAAAUGGAUGGGUCUAGGCGUAUUUCAGUUCUAGAUACAUCCAGUUUUAUCCAUUUCUGUGAUAUGUAAUCCAGACGGAGGGAGUAUGAUGUAAGAGCUAGGGAUAUGACAGGACAACACAGUAAAAAGAACACUGAAAACCCACUGCAGAACCAAAGUAUUCAAACCCACCGAUAUGAGAUAGUACACUCAUCCAUCUCAGGAUGCAAAACUACCAGGCAGUUUUCCUUACAAAAAUCAACAUUGUGGCCUUUAAUCAUACAUUUUACUACAACUAAAUUUAGAUCAGAUAAAUGUUGGAUUCACGCCAAUUAACAAAAUACAUGCUGAUGUAAAAAUACAGUGAUAUACAACAGGUACUUACAUCUGCAUUGGAGCACAGAGAAUUCCCGCAAGAAUCUUUCCUCACAUACAAUACCAGUGCAGAAAUUCUUCUAUCUGUUAAGCUUAUUUUCUAUAAGAGAGAUGGGUAAGAAACAUGUAGAAAAUAUGAUCAGUAUGGUAUAAAAUUUUAUGAUGCAAGGAUACGCACACGCUUCUUAGAAUGGAGUUCACAUAUUUUUGCUGGAUUGGAGCGGACUAGUUCUUUGGCCAUUGGAAUCUGCUUAUUAUAGUAGGAGUUGGGUUUCUCUGUGCUGGAGCAAUAUCUAUAAAAACUGGAGUUGGUUUAUUAUCUCCUGAAGUUUGGAUCUUUUGCAAAGGCCUUGUUUGUAACCCUUCAGAUUCUAACAUAGUCGUCUUCCCCUUGCAUGCCUUGUAUAGAAGAAUGGUGCUUUAAUUAUAAAACAUGCUACAUUAGAGAGAUGGAAUAGGUACUAAAGAAUAGAAAGACAUGACAUAUUGACAUGUAUUCCCUCCAUCCGGAAAAAAAUGGAUGGGUCUAGGUGUAUUUCAGUUCUAGAUACAUCCUUUUUUAUCCAUUUCGGCCACAUGUAAUCCGGACAGAGGGAAUAUGGUGUAAGUGCUAGGGAUACGACAGGACAACACAGCAAAAAACACUAGUUGAAUGUAAAACUAUAUGCUAGCAGAAUACGUAUAGAAAAAAUUAAGGCAACAUACACGUGUAUGAUUGGGAAAAUAAGAUGACAUUGCAACAGAGCACUAGAACAACACUUCAAUGUAAAAAAACAUGGUAUGGUAGACAGAUGAAGUACAUACUGAUGAAUAACAAUGCAUAAGAUAUUCAGAAGCAUGAUGUCCAAAUUAAGCAGAUGGCAUUGCGAUAGAGUAGAAUGACAAUACUUGAAUUUGAAAACAUGUUAUCAUGAAUGGAAUAGGUACUGAAAAAUAGGAAGGCAUGACAUAUUUACAUGCAUGAUCAGCAUGCUAAGCACAUGGCAUUGCAACAGAGUAGAUACACUCAGGACAUUAUAUGCAUGUUGUACCCAUAUCACAGGCCAAGUUAGAGCAAGGACCUUGUGGGGUGAAGAGGAUUCAUCAUCUUUCUGCAAGUCUUUUGAAGAACUGCCUUUACAUGUUCCAUCAUAUUGGGUAUCAUUAACAUCAAGUUUAUUGGCCUUUACAUUGCUCCGUGAGGUUCUUGUGGAUAUAUCGGCGUGUGCAAUUAUAUCUGACAUGCAUGGAAGACAACUAGUAGUUAGAUUUAUGUAAUGAGGGCAUGUAGGAGACGACAUAAAUAGUAGGACUGGGGUUAACUAGCAGCAACAGGUCUCAUAAACUAAAGGGAGAACGCAGAUGAAAGCUAUAUAAUAUGUAUCGUUUGUACUCGAGAUUAACAGAUGGCACACAAAAGUAUUAAAGAACAACAUAGGUAAUACUAGAAGUGGUAUAAUACUAUAAUCACCAGCCUGUGGGAUAGCAUUGGCUGAUGGAUGAUAACUAUGGAACAACAUUACCUAAAGAACAAGUAUCUUAGCUAAACUAUGGAACAAUGUUAACUCCUGAACAAGACCUGUAAGAGAUCAACAUGAAUAUACAGUGAAAUGUGAUAAUCUAUUUUCCAUGCUUAGAUGAAUAACAAAGCCAUAAAUGUUGCACACAAGUAAGAUGAGGGUACAACCUAUCUGGCCGCCAUCGAUAGGAGUGAGCAUCAUGUGCUGACUUGUCGAUGGCCCUACAGUUGUUGUGGCUUUUCAUGUCGGGCACACGCAUUCGAUGCAGGGAACUGUUGAGUGGGGACUAGAGCUCCCUUCUGGUGUAUGCUUCCCUUGUUGGAGCAGCUGCGGUGAGUCGGAAGACGGUGUGUCUGAAGAUGCAGAUAACACAUAAUGUUAAGAACGACAUAUCUCUUUGAUCUGAAGAAAUACACUAAGAGAUCAACAGCAAGGUACGAGAGUGGUCACACGUCUGUUGACUGAAGACUAAAUUGGGGUCACAUGAUUUUAUUUUAUUUUGGUACUGUCUGAUCUACGCCGGAUGGCUUGAUGGCCGUCUUGUGCCUCCCGGCUGACACUGUUCGAGAAUCUUCCCCGAAGAGCCAGCGACCAAUGGCAGAGCAGCCUGCCUCCGCCGUCCGUGGCCCCGACCAAUACCCCGCUCCCCGCCGCACUGCAUUGUCGUGGUUGCGCCGCCCCCGGGCCAAUCCACAAAGACUCCCCGUCAUCCAUAUCCGGCGGUGGCAGUACCUUCAACCCACGCAACUCUAAGAUAGCCAUCUAAGCGCUGCUUCCGCGGUAAACUUGCGGCCCCGCACCCUUACGUUAGACACCAGCCAACUGGCAGCCUAGGAGCUCCGCCGCCUCGAGGGGUGCUGCUUCCCAUUGGGAAUCGAUUGGCCCAGAAUAAAAAUUCAGACAACUGACGCCUAAAAAAGUGAUUUGAGAUGAGGGUGCGACCUAUCUGGCGGCAUGGUGAAGUAGGCAGGUCCAGCUGCCGAGUCGGUGAGGCUGGCGCGGUUGCGGUGGCGACCGACAAUAGGGAAAUAGUGAUGUCGCGACGGUCGACGGCUACGAGGAAGCAGCGCCGGGACUCUGGACGGAUCCAAAUUUGGAGCCGCUCCGGCGCCGUGAACAACGGCGGGGGUGAAUCGGCUCCGGUACGGUUCACGCGGCCGUCGUCGAGGCAGCUCCAGCAGCACGGAGUAAGAGGCACACAACCCAGUGCACGACGACAAAUGGACAGCGUCUCCGGCAUUAGGGAGGAGGGCGGCUGUGAAAUUGGUGCGAUGGGGGCGCCAUGGAGGAGGGGCUGAGGUUUCGCGGCUCGGGAGAAGGGAGCUUCCCGGGGAGAAGGUGAUUUGGCGCCCACGAGGUAUGAAUGGGGGGGGAUUGGGAGGGGAGUGGAACCAUGUCUUACGGACGCAUUUGCCUGAAAUGUGAGGGGGAGUUACAGUUCUACCCCUGCCUUUAGGCUUCUCGGCUUGGGUCUGUGUACUAAGGAUCGGGGAUAGUAGAGUAACUUUGCUUCUCCCCAAUUAGUGGGCGGGAGCGAUUUCGGGCGAGGAGGGCGUGUUUUGAAAUAUAGUGGGUGCGAGCGAUUUCGGGCGAGGAGAGCGUGUUUUGAAAUAGUGGGCGCGAGCUAUUUCGGGCGAGGAGAACGUGUUUUGCCGACCAUGGUUUAUGAAUUAUUCGGCACAUGUCAUUUCGGCCGAGGAGAAGGCGCGCUUGGAUGAAGUUACGAACCUACCCUCGAUGUACAACGGGCCAAUUGGUGUGUGUCCCACAUAGGACGGUAAUUUCACGUCUCCCAUUUAUUUGCUCGGGCGAAUUCCACCGAGCAGAGGAUGUUUAACGGUUCGUUCAAAUUUUGGGAGAACGAGCAUCCACGUCUACCUACCAAGUCGAUUUGAAUCAAAUUUUAAAAUAUUAGCUUGCCACUUCUUUUUUAGAUGGAGAGAUGAUGCUCGGGAGUAAUGUGUUUUUACAUGCUCGUUGCUAGCGAUUUACUAUGUGACAAAUAGUUGACCCACUCAAAAACGCGAAUCAAACCCAAAAUGAAAUAUCUCGAUUCAAUGAAAUAGCUCAUUCACUAGGUCAAAAUAGUGAACUAAAUCCAAAAUUGAACACCUCAAUUGAGUAGCAUGUUGUACAGUAUUAUAGUACUCCAUGAACAUGUUGAAAGUCAAACUAAUGAACUUGUUUGAUAUACGCAUAUAUCCGUUCAUGUGUGGAUUGCAGACAACAUGUUCUCCAAUUUAAAUAUUUAAAUGCAAGUUUAUAUCGAAACAUGGUUUAUAUCAGUCUUUGAUGCAUAAAACGCGACCUGCCCCUCUCCCGGAAUCCUGUUCUCUCUCUCUCUCUCUAUCUCUCUCUCUCUCUCUCCGGCAAUCUUCAUUUCUGUCGCACGCAUCUGACACAAAAACCUUGUUGGUCCCUCUCCCUUUCUCUCCAUCUCUCUCUUUCUUUGUGUGUGUGUGUGGGGGGGGUCUUUCUAGUUCACAUGCAUAUAUACUCCAUAUAUAGGUCUCUCUCGCACACUAUGUAUGAUACUCUAGCUAGUCCAAGCUAGAUAUCUUGGGUGCACUCAUCGUACGCACACAAAUUCCUUGGAUCGUUGCCGGUAACUCUCUCACGCACCACUCUGUCGUCUCGGAGCUCUUCCCCCUCUCUCUCAAACUCUCCAUCUACCUGGGUCACACAUACACAUGCAUAUCUCACUCGCACUCGAUAGACCCAUCUAAAACCCUAUCUCUCUCCCUCGUUCUCUCUCCAUCUCACACGCACACACACACACAAUCUUAUGCCUAACUAGCCAAGUAUGAUGGUCUCUCACUCAAUUGUAGGCACACGCAGUUCCCCUAUAUGUAUAUCACUAGCUAAUCUUAGUCUCCAUCACAAACAUGUGCAUUUUAUCGCGCACGCACCUCCCUCAAUCUCUCACCCAUAUAGUCCCCUCGCGAUCUCGAGGGGAUCUCUCUAUCACAAACACACACUCUCUCCCUCCCCAUGCAUCCAUGUCCUCCAUGUGUCCCUCUCGACCUUUGUUCCUUGUUGUCCAGACCUCUUUUGGACAUGUGCUACAGGGGUGUCUCUCUCCAUUGCAAACAAUCACACACUAGCUAUCUUCGUGUAUCUCCUCGCCUCGCUUUUCUAUCUCGAAGAUGCAUGCGUGAUAUGUUCACAUAAGAAACGAAAGAACACACCCUCUCUAAUUUAUUAUUUGUUGUCACUUUCUCUUUCACACACAUACUCUUUUUGCACACUUACUCAUUCUCCUUCACACGCACUUCAUCUGUCUCGACUUAGGCACUCUCCUCGGUCCAUAGCAUAUAGAUUUAUUAAAAAGUCAAACAUCACAAAGUUUGACCAUGUACGUGGAGAAAAACAAUUACAUCUAGAAUGGCAAACAUAUACCAUUAGAUUCACCAUGAGAUGUAGUUUUGUAUGAUGUAUCUUUGGUAUUGUAGAUAUAAAUAACAUUUGCGUAAACCUGAUAAAAGUUUCCAAAGUUCGACUUCUAAAAAAAUUUUACGUGCACUGCAUUAUUGAGCGGAUGGAAUAUCUCUUUCCCCCUCUCAGCUAUCUGACGCACCACUCAGCCUUAUCAGGGCUCCUCAAUCUCUCUCAAAAUUUAUUGGUCAGUUUGGUUCGUGACCUGACCCUCAUGCCUUGAUGGCCAGUACUGCCUAGUGUGGACAUGAGAUGUAAAAUAUUUCUGCCUGGCCAGGCUUGUGUGGUGCUAAAGCGUUUGGUUCAUACCUGGGCUAGGCAAAGCAUCAACGUCUCAUCAAUCAAUCCAUGCAGCAAUUAUUUAAUGCUAAUAUCCAUCCAUGUUGCUGUUAGCCUCAUGGCCGCAUGACCAGGCAUGGCCAGGCGUUCGAAAUUGGUCGCCCGGGCCAGGCUACUUGCAGUGUCUGGAGUCCAUCCAGGCAAAUUAAAGUGCCUAGGAAUCCAGGCCAGGCGGGCUUUCUUUUUCACAGGGUAGCAACCAAACAAGCGUGCAUGAAAUCCAGCCACAACCCCAGGCCAGGCAAAAGAUGCUCAGGACGCAAGCCAAACUGACCUUAUAUCUCCCUGGUUCACACAUACACAUGUCCCGCUCGCGCUAUACAUAUAGACCCAUCCAACACUCUCCGCCCUUGUUCUCUCUCCAUGUGACACGCACCCCCCUAAGUACCAUAAUCCCUCACUCCAUCAUAGGCGCAAGCACUCCCCCCUCCUAAGUAUGAUUAUCUCUUACUAGCCAUCAGGAACACACGUAUUGUCUCCUUCCAUCAAUACGUCUAUCUUGAUAUCUCUCGGGGCAUCUUCUAUCGCGCACACACCUUGUCACUCGGUCUCCCACCCAUGUAGUCCCAUCACGAUCUCCAGGGGAUCUCUUUAUGACAAACAUACACUCUCUCCUCCCCAUGUCUGCAUUUUCUCCGUACGUCUCUCUCGACCUAUCUCCCUUGUUUGUCAGACCCCUCUUGGCCACGUGCUAGGGGUCUUGCUCUCUCGGUUCCAAACAACCACACACUAUCUCCUCACCUUGCCUCCAUUGUCGAAGAUGCAUGUGUAUAUGUUUGCAUAAGACACACACGCUUUUUCUCUACUUUUAUCAUGUGUUGUCCAUGUCUCUUUCACACACACACACUUUUUCACUCACUCUUUCUAUUUCUCUCUCUCUCUCUCUCUCUAGUUAGGGACUCUGUCACGUCCAUAAGCAUAUGGAUGUUUUGAAAAGUCAAACCUCAGAAAAGUUUGACCAGGUAUAUGUGGAGAAAAACAUUUACAUCUAGAAUGAUCAUUAGAUUCAUCUCAACAUGUACUUACUUCAUACUAUCAUUUAUCUUUGGUAUUGUAGAUAUAAGUAAUUUCUUUAUAAACUUGGUCAAUGUUUCAAAAGUUUGACUUUAAAAAAAUGUUGGAACUACAUUAUCGAACGGUGGGAGUAGCUCUUUCUCUCUCUCUCUCUGCUAUCUCUCACGGGCCUCCCCUCUCACUCGAACUCUCUAUACCGACGGGUUAUACGCUCACUGUGUCAGCGUAUAGCUCCGUAUAUUGUUUACUUGACCGGUCAACCAGUCCACAUGCUGCCUUGUCAGCUCGUGUUCUGUAUCUUCGUGUGCUGUCCCAUGUGGCAGUGGGUGAAAAUAAGUAAACUAGAGGCCCAUCUGACACACGGUGAAGUAAACAAAGUUGAAACCACUCGGGGUAGCACCCCGCAUGCUAGUAAAUUGAGGGCGCAUUAAGGACACACUUCUUGCGCGUGAAGGACGCAGUCGUGCACAAUUCACCACUGCGCGGCGGCAUGCACAGAAGGACGCACUCGUGCACACCCAGCACAUAACACACACCAGCAUACGUGUACACCGGCGUCGCCGCCGGUUGAGAUGGACGGCAAGGCAGCCAACAAGCAGAGGCGGCUCGAGCCAAAACCGCAUCCGGCGAGCCUGGAUUUCAUCAGCAGCCUCCCCGACGACAUGCUGCUUGUCAUCAUCGGCCUCCUCCCCACCAAAUCUGCCGUGCAGACCGCCCUGCUCUCCCAGCGGUGGCGCCCCCUCUGGCGCCGCGUCCCCCUCAACCUCACCGUCGAUAGCUGCCUCUGCGACGGGGAUUGCAAAUGCAUGGCCGCAGUCUCCAAGAUCCUUUCAUCGCACCCUGGGCCAGCCAGGCGCCUUGACAUCCACAUGUUCAGUACCAACUGCAAGGUCCAACCCAAGUUCGACGAGUGGUUCUUAUCCCUCGCCCUAGAUCAGCUCGAGUUGCUCAGCUUUGAAGCUGGACGACGUCGCUCUCUGCUGCCGUCUGCGCUCCGCCUCACGCCAAUGCUGCACCGCGCUAGCUUCAGCUCCUCCAGUCUUCCCCAAAUUAAUGUCGUGCCUGCCCUUCUUCUCCCUCAACUCAAGCAGCUCGACCUCUUUGACGUUGUCAUCUCGAAGAAGGCUAUGGAGCACCUGUUGCGCAGCUGUACUGUGCUCGAGUACCUUCAUCUUGAGUAGAUCCACGGGUUCAUUAGCCUCCACAUCGCCUCGACGAAUCUCCGAUGGAUUUAUGUGUCUUGCUGUCCCCGCAACAAGACAUCAAUUGGGAAGAGAUCACUCUAGCUGUUCCACGUUAUGGUCAUUGAGAAUGCGCCUUUCCUUGAGAGAUUGCUUGUAUCGGAUCUAGACGGUCCAACAAAAAUCAGGGCCAUUGACGCGCCGAAAUUGACAACGUUGGUGUACUCGUCUGCCAAAUUCUCUGAACUCUUUAUUGGAUCCGUAAUCGUUCAGGUACAACACUCAUCUUCUUCUCCGUCUUCUUGAAAUUCACAUUUUUAAAUUUCUUCUUGAUGUAUUUACGACCGUCUUCCAGAAAAUGAUUUCCACAAGCUUGACCCAGUCCAUGCGCACAAUGAUGAUCUUGGCACUAAAAUCUAUCGGCCCCAAUCUGGAUCAAGUUGUUGGAUUCCUUACAUGCUUUCUGUGCACGAAGAAGCUACUCAUCGAGGUGAAACUUCUUUCCUAUUAGUAAACGGUAAACGUAGCUCAAUUUUUUCAUAAUUUUCCCAAAUUACAAUGACAAGUGUAGUGUUCAAAACUGCAUCUACGCACUGCACCGAAAGAAAUGUUUUUAGUAUUUUUUUCUCACAUGAUCACAUGUGUCGUUUUUAUGCUGUACUACUAUAGUAGCCUAGGCUAGUCAUAGUGGAAAGUAACUUAGACUACUCCAGUAACUCUAUGGUUACCCUAAGAGCAAGUACUACCUCCGUCCUGGUUUACUCUUCCAAUUUUGUAGUAUCAAAAUUUGACCAUAGAUUUAACUGACAAAAUGUUAAUGCAUGUCACUAAGAACUAUAUCAUCGGAUUUGUAUUUGAACAUAAUUUCAAAUGGUGUAAUUUUUAGUGACAUGCAUUGACAUUUUCUUAGGUAAAUCUAUGGUCAAAAUUUUAUACUAAAUACGAGAUAGUAUUCCCUCCGUCCAAAAAUUCUUGUCUUACAUUUGUUUAGAUACAGAUGUAUCUAACACUAAAAUUUAACUAGAUACAUCCGUAUUUAGACAAAUUUAAGACAAGAAUUUUGGGACGGAGGGAGUACAAAAGUGGGCUAUGUAGGCCAAAACAUGUGCCAAAUUCACUUGUGAUGCAUUUGGCAUCGAUGCCCCUCCAUUGCUCACCUGGUGCCCCAAUCUGGAUCACCUACUUUGAUCUGGUGCCAAAUUAACUCACGCAAUGAAAAAACACUGUGUGGGAGAGAGAGAGGACUGAGGAAAUAAAAAACACUUGUUUGGGAGAGUGAGAGGCUGGUGUAGUUGGUUUGAUUGAUUUUUUUAUACAUGUGGGUCUGUGUGCACAGCGGUGCCAACUCUCUCACAUCGCGAGAGCGGUGCCAAAAUCUUUUGAUUUGACAUCGAUGCAUAUUAUGUGGCAUACUUUUGCGAAAUAUGGCAUCGGCCACAUAGUGGAAGGCAACAAAUGCCCAAACUCUUCACGUGCUCCUAGUUAAAUGAGAGGAAGCAGAAAGAGAGAGAGAGAGAGAGAGUGAAAAAAUAUCACUAGCCAGCCAACCCUAUCGUAUGAGCGAAUGAUAUUGGUACCUCUUGAUGACACGGCAAUCUUAUACAGCCAUCUGCUCUAAUAUGUUCUCUUCUUUUGCAGAUAAAAAAAGACCCAAAAGUGAAAAAUGUGUUGCACUAUAACAAUCUCAUCGAAUGCCUUGAUCUCCAUCUUACAGAAAUUGAUUUGAUCGACUACCGAAGUAGCACAUCUGAGAUUAAAUUGGCCAGGUUCUUUGCUCUGGAGGCAAGUGUGCGCAAGGUAAUGAGGUUUGGCGUUCUCUGGCGCAACAAUGAAUGACGUGCUGAUCACCGCAAGCGUUUAAGCCUAAAUGACAAAGUCUCCGCAGAAGAUGAUUUUUUUUUUUGAAACAUCAUGUGGCCAGAGACUCAAAAAUUUAUUUGCCCAUUAGUGACUUGUCAGGGCGGUGGAUUUUAGUUUGUACGAUAAUAGUGCAUCCACCUAAAGUAAUGAAAGUUCUUACGUAAACUUCCUAGUAAUUCCCUCUUCGUAGGUGCAUCAUUACUCCUAACAUUUGUAAUAUCGAUUUGAAACUUGUAAUAUUGCCAUGUCCUAUUCCCGCGUUUUCAAAAUCCUGCGAAUCAAUCAGGUCCUGAGUUGGUGAUGAUGUUGUGCCUCCCAUCUUUCACCAAUAGCCGUCGGAUCUAGAUCUGACGCAUACAAACCAAACUUCUCCAUUUUUGCAAAAAGAUGCCCGCACUUAUUCCCUAUUUAUAAACAACUCCUUGUCUCUCACAAUCAGCCGUAUCUCCUCCCCACCACAUUUAGAAGGCCGAGGAAAAAUCUGGCGCGAUGGCCACUGCCGGCGCCAUCCACCACCAAUCUUGGUGUUCCGUGCAAUGCACGGGCAUCUACGCAUGGGAAAAUAUGUCGAACAGGGCUAGUUGUAAGCAGGCUAGCUCUACAGCCAUGAUGAUAGUGACUGCAGACGGUGAGGCUGACUAUGGUAUGCCGAACCUGGCGCCUAUACUCAGGUGUCAUCUCCGGCGCAGGGUCUUGUCACUUCACUGUGAGGAGCAGCACGUAAUAAUUUGACCAACGGGUAGUACAAUGCUAGUGCUCCUACUACAUUGGUAGUACUACUACUUGUACUAGUAGAACCACCGUCUGGAUUUAGGAGUACUACCAUGUUCAUCUGGAUUUUAGUAUUUGACUAGCAAUAUCUAGUAAUGCAUGUCACAAAAAUGUACUACUCCCUUUGUAAAUAAAUACAUGGUGUAUUGUUUUAUUCCUAUCGGCGAGAGAACUUAAUGUCUUUUUGCUAACUAAUAGGAUUACAUGCAAUGAACUAAACACUGCAUGUCAUGUUUGGUAGUCUCAAGUCAUUGAAAGCAUGCACGACCCACAUCUCUCAUUGGUUGAUAUGUCACGAAAUAAGAAACGAGGAGGGAGUUAAUGUACCGUGCCUAAGUGUUUUGGGAUUAUUUGGUUUUCGUAAGGUGACUUACACAACAUUUUUGUUUACAUGCAUUAACAUUUUAUUAGUUAAAUCAAAGUUCAAAACUUGGCGCAAAAUGCAAAGGGGACCAAUAAACCAAUAAACAUCAAACUUCUCUCGUUUGGCCCCAACUAGAGGUCCGGUGAGAUGACUAUACUGCACCGGCACGGAGGGGGACGCAACUUCAUUGACUUACUGCAACUGCCUUUGGGUGAAUGACACGUGGGCCCAACGGGUGGCUGGCCCACCUAUCAUACCGCCAAAGGCAGGUGUAGUAGAGGGCCGAGGAGUAGUACGAAAUCCUACGCACCUACGCACACUAACCAAGGGCAAGAGUGAUCACUCGAAUCGCAAGAUCAGUUGACUAGAAGGUAAGCUAGACCCAUGGAGGCGAUGAGCGUGAGCAUCAGCCGGCUGUGCCAGAUGGUCCAUAACGCCGGCCUGCGGCCCGGCACCGAGGAAUGUCUCCAGGUAUUGCUUGAGGCCGCCAGGGCGAGGGGCCGCUUGGACGACAACUUCGUGUCCUUGUUCGACGAGGUCCUCGUCAGUUUCCUCGACAAGUUCACCGUUGUCAAGAAGCUCGCGGACGACUUUGACGUAUGCCUCCAGCCGACGCGCCCAGGCUCUAUGAUGCCCGCCACCCUCAACGGCCACUAUGGUGACAACCUCUUCGACACACUGGUGGCCCUGCGACUGCCCGCCGUCGCGCCAGAGAAUGUCCACCUCAAGGUCGCGCUCGCCACGCAGCGCCUGGCGCAGCAAGACACCAUCGACAUAAUCACCCACGUCUAUGCGCAAAUCGUCCACAAGGACUACUACAUGCAAGAGGAUGACAAUAGGACGCUGGCCUUCUUGGACCGCAGGGCAACCUUGGACGGCAUUGUCCAGAAGCACGUUGAGCUCGCCGCCAAUGCCGCUGCUCCUCACACGUCGGUUGGUGACCCGGCGCACUAGGGCGUGAGGAUGUCGUUGAUGGAUCCGUAUGUAUUUUUAUCUUUCCGUCAAAUCCAUGUAGUAGUAUAUGGUACUACUAGUAAUUAUCUUACCUUUCGCAUCAACUUCAUAAUUUUCAUAUGUACUCCAUGCAUGAACGGAGCCAGAACCAAACUUCUCAUUACUCUAGGCAAAAUCGUUACUUUCUAUCUAUCGGUCGCGCCAUGGAGCAGAACCAAAAUUUACAAGUUACGAGUUCAAAAGGAAAAGCCUGUCGUGUUCGCAUCGCACCCCCACACGGUUGGUCCGGCAUGCCGCUCAAGGGGGAAUGCGUGCGGUGUUGCAUUUUCACUUACAAGUGGGACCGCAGUUGAGCAAACCGACUAUCGGCAAACCCCCACCCUGCCCACCGCGCGAUGGCUGAGAAAACAGGAGGGAUAAGAGAUGGUUGUAGCACGGACUCCAAGAAAAUUGGUGUCGGAUGAGACUCGUGUGGGUGGCGUGUGCCGUACUGCUAGACAUGAAUGCUAGUUAUGGCCCAUGCACCCCACUAUAUCGAGCCUAUAUUGAGGUGCUGGUUACGUAGAACAAAUUUCCUGGAGUCCAUGCUCAGCCCUCCUCUAUCUCUCCUCUCAGCCAGCCAGCGGACGCGCGGAGCCCAUCGUCUGUUUGCUCACAUGCGGUCCCACAUGUCAGUGAAAACGCAAGAGGACCCACUGAACCUGCACAUCUUUCACCUCGACGUGCUGGUGAUGAAAAACAAAUCCAAUAAAGAUCUUCGGUGGCCCCUUUUGGAGUUACUCAAGAGUAGUAAGAUUCUAUUUACAGUUUAACCCAAGAUGCACAUCAUGUGGCUUCAACUACCACUCUAUUUUCUUGCAUGACACGACCUGGAUGCUGGAUGUCCCACAUGUCUGCAAAAGGAGGAAGAACCCGACCAAAUCUUCGGUUGUGCUCUCGGAUUAGACUAGUUGUGCUAACUUAAUUUUUUUAUUGUGUACUCCCUCCGUUCCAAAAUAUACUUGACAUCCAUUUGUCCAAAAAUGGAUGUACCUAUAUACUAAAACAUGUCUAGAAACAUCUAUAUUUUCACAAACAGAAGGCAUGUAUUGUGGAACGGAGGGAGUAGAAUGGAUGCAAGUUUUGGUAUUGGGAGGAAGAGUACAUCGAUAUAUUGAUAGAGCGCAAUUUAGUAGAUGUUCUAGCACUUUUAGCUAGCAUAGAGGCUAGAGAUGAGACUAGUGCACUUUUGAUACUCCUACUAGAAUAGAGGCUAGACAUGAGACUAGAUGCGAGGAAGCAACGUCUACUUCUUUACACUCGAAGAAGAAAGAAGCACGCAAGAUCGAGCCUCCACAGAUCAACAAUGAAUGCAUCAAGAAGGCACUAAUCCAACUUACAUGAGCAGUUAUGGAAGUUGGAUAUCUUCUAAAAUGUAUUCUUGUGGUUCUUGUUUUCUUUGGUCUUACUUUUCUAGUCAAAAUUAUCGUUGGAGUUCGUGCAAAAUGGAGGUCCGUUUGGGGUCGUGCGUUGGAGUUGGCCUUACAAGUGGGACCGAAGUUGAGGAAACUGACUAUCGGCAAAUCCCCACCUCGCCGCCGCGUGAUGGUUGAAGUUAGAGAAAUGACGAGGUUGAAGAGAUUGCUCUAGCACGGACUCCAAGAAAUAUGGUGUCAGAUGGAUGUGGUGCUGGUGGCGUGUGCCGUACUCCUGGACGUGAAUGCUUGUUCUGGCCCAUGCCACCCUACUACUCCUACUACUUAUAUAGUACUCCUACUAGUAGUAUCGAGGAUUCGAGGUGCUGGUUACGUACAACGAACACAUUAACAUAUGUCUAUAGUAAAAACACCCACCCGACAUGCGAAGCAUGUGAAUCUAGUACAAAUAGUGUACUACUAUUGUUGAUUGGCCUCAUCCGAUAAGCUGUUGCAAUGCACGUACAAUUAUGUAUUCAGAAAAUAUUUUUUGCCUCAUCGCACCACUCACUCAGAGAAGCGACUCGAAAGCCAUUCAUAAAUUUAGUAAGUUUAUCACAUGCAUAUCAUUUUAUUACAUACAACAGGUCAUCAACCCACAUCGACAACGAGGAUACACUAUAAAUACUAAAGUUUUCAUCACACAACAAAUAACAAGCAAUGAAAUGAACUUCAACUCAACCAAUCCUCGACGUUGGAAACACUUGCUUUGAACCACAAGUGAUUCUCUAGGAAGGGCCAUCCAUUGUCGAUCUCGAGACCAACGCAGGACUGAUCAUCCAGGCUGAAGCGGCCUACUAUAUCAGUACCAGGGUAGGGAACCACCCAAAUGUCCGAGGUAUAGAUACAAUUGCUUCUCAUGAAUGGUACUAGUAACAUUGUGUCAACAGCAGAUGGAUCGCCUUUCACCAUCAUUGGAUAGUUUUGUCCAAGGAAGAGCGAGUUUUCUCCAAGACUAUCAAUUCUGUACCAGGGAGAAGGUGUUGGUUCUAGCACACUAGCAUCUAUCCUGAAUACCAUGCAACGGGUGUUGGAAUAGGUCCGGAGAGUGCAACCACGGGAGACUACACCUGCCUCCUUAGUAGUAACAUCAUCAGUGGGCUGUAUACACACAAAAAGAGGUGAUCCAUCAGAAUUAGCUGCCAGGCGCCACUGAGUAUAUGGGCGCUGCUCGUCCUCAUGCUUGUGAUCAUCACCAUCGUCAUCUCCCCUUAGUUAUAAUUUUUUUCAAGUAUAGGUGGUGGAAUGUUCACGGGACCUUGGAAACACAAGAAGAAGGUUAAUUAGUAAGGGAAACUUGCUAACCCGCAUGCAUGUGGAUGAAAUAAUUAUAAUUGCGGUGGAAGACAAACGUACCGAAACUAUGAGGAUCCCAUGCAAAAACAGUGCCAUGAGUGGUGGAAGCAAACACAAGGCCCUCGUAUUGAAUUGCAUCACAGUACUCAUCCGUGUACAGAAACUGAUUUUUGAGCAAUAUCCAUACAGUCGGACCACGAAGGAUGGCAACAAGCUUGGUGAAGAUAGCAACAACUACAUAGUUCUUAUAAUUCCAAGAGCGGUUAAGAAAUCGACAAAUUGCUAUCUUUCGUAGAAGACAUUCACUAUGAUCGUAUUUGAACGUGCGUAGAAUACCGGUGUGCUCAACCUCUUGGCAAUCUGCUGAGAUUUUUGGAAGUGGAACCCAGUGAUGAGUGUACACAUUCACAAGUUCCCACUCGCAGUUGGACCCAAUAUAAACAACCCAAUCUCCAUUUGCGCCUGCCCAAGCCUUACCCUCAAGCGAUGGCAUCUUAACGUCAUACGUAUCAUUAUCAAGCGGCAUCAACUUGCACAAGGUGAGGCCUCCGUCGUCCCCGCGCCAGUCAUCAGGGUGAGGGCGAAGAAGAUAGGGGAGAUCAAACCACUCCUUGACCCUUGGGUUCCUUGUAAUGAUGUUAUUAGUUGAGUCGAGAAUGGAACGAACCUGCCAUGCUAGCUGAGGAUUGAAGGAAAUAUGCCCUAGAGGCAAUAAUCACGUUAUUAUUUAUUUCCUUAUAUCAUGAUAAAUGUUUAUUAUUCAUGCUAGAAUUGUAUUAACCGGAAACAUAAUACAUGUGUGAAUACAUAGACAAACAUAGUGUCACUAGUAUGCCUCUACUUGACUAGCUCGUUUAUCAAAGAUGGUUACGUUUCCUAGCCAUGGCCAAAAGAGUUGUCAUUUGAUUAACGGGAUCAAAUCAUUGGGAGAAUGAUGUGAUUGACUUGACCCAUUCCGUUAGCUUAGCACUUGAUUGUUUAUUAUGUUGCUAUUGCUUUCUUCAUGACUUAUACAUGUUCCUAUGACUAUGAGAUUAUGCAACUCCCGUUUACCGGAGGAACACUUUGUGUGCUACCAAAUGUCACAACGUAACUGGGUGAUUAUAAAGGAGCUCUACAGGUGUCUCCUAAGGUACAUGUUGGGUUGGCGUAUUUCGAGAUUAGGAUUUGUCACUCCGAUUGUCGAAGAGGUAUCUCUGGGCCCUCUCGGUAAUGCACAUCACUAUAAGCCUUGCAAGCAAUGUGACUAAUGAGUUAGUUGCGAGAUGAUGUAUUACGUAACGAGUAAAGAGACUUGCCAGUAACGAGAUUGAACUAGGUAUUGGAUACCGACGAUCGAAUCUUGGGCAAGUAACAUGCCGAUGACAAAGGGAACAACGUAUGUUGUUAUGCGGUUUGACCGAUAAAGAUCUUCGUAGAAUAUGUGGGAGCCAAUAUGAGCAUCCAGGUUCCGCUAUUGGUUAUUGACCAAGAAUAGUUCUAGGUCAUGUCUACAUAGUUCUCGAACCCGUAGGGUCCGCAUGCUUAACGUUACGAUGACAGUUAUAUUAUGAGUUUAUGAGUUUUGAUGUACCAAAGGUUGUUCGGAGUCCCGGAUGUGAUCACGGACAUGACGAGGAGUCUCUAAAUGGUCGAGACAUAAAGAUUGAUAUAUUGGAAGCCUAUAUUUGGAUAUCGGAAUGGUUCCGGGUGAAAUCGAGAUUUUACUGGAACACCGGGGGGGGGGGGGUUACCGGAACCCUCCCGGGGGUUAAUGGGCCUUAGUGGGCGAUGAGGGAGAAGAGGAGGGCCGGCCAGGGUAGGGCGCGCGCCCCCUCCCCCCUAGUCCGAAUAGGACAAGGAGGGGGGGGGCGCCCCCCUUUCCUCUUUCCCCUCCCCCCUUUUCUUAUACACCAAGGCAAGAGGGGGGAGUCCUACUCCCGAUGGGAGUAGGACUCCUCCAGGCGCACCCCUAGGGGGCCGGCCGCACCUCCCCCCUCCCUCCUUUAUAUACGGGGGCAGGGGGCACCCUAGGACACGCAAGUUGAUCUACGUGAUCGUUCCUUAGCCGUGUGCGGUGCCCCCCUCCACCAUAUUCCACCUCGGUCAUAUCGUCGUGGAGUUUAGGCGAAGCCCUGCACCGGUAGAACAUCAUCAUCGUCACCAUGUUGUCUUGCUGACGGAACUCAUCCCCGACACUUUGCUGGAUCGGAGUCCGGGGAUCGUCAUCGAGCUGAACGUGUGCUGAACUCGGAGGUGCCAUACGUUCGGCACUUGGAUCGGUCGGAUCGUGAAGACGUACGACUACAUCAACCGUGUUGUCAUAACACUUCCGCUUACGGUCUACGAGGGUACGUGGACAUUACUCUCCCCUCUCGUUGCUAUGCAUCACCAUGAUCUUGCGUGUGCGUAGGAAAUUUUUUAAAAUUACUACGUUCUCCAACAGUGGCAUCCGAGCCAGGUUUUAUGCAUAGAUGUGAUAUGCACGAGUAGAACACAAGUGAGUUGUGGGCCAUACAAGUCAUACUGCUUACCAGCAUGUCAUACUUUGGCUCAGCGGUAUUGUGAGAGGAAGCGGCCUGGACCGACAUUACGCGUACGCUUACGCAAGAUUGGUUUCACCGUUACGAGCACUCGUGCUUAAAGGUGAUUGGCGGGUGUUUGUCUCUCUCACUUUAGCUGAACCGAGUGUGGCUACGCCCGGUCCUUGCGAAGGUUAAAACAACAUUAACUUGACGAACUAUCGUUGUGGUUUUGAUGCGUAGGUAAGAACGGUUCUUGCUAAGCCCAUAGCAGCCACGUAAAAUUUGCAACAACAAAGUAGAGGACGUCUAACUUGUUUUUGCAGGGCAUGUUGUGAUGUGAUAUGGUCAAGACGUGAUGCUAUAUUUUAUUGUAUGAGAUGAUCAUGUUUUGUAACCGAAGUUAUCGGCAACUGGCAGGAGCCAUAUGGUUGUCGCUUUAUUGUAUGAAAUGCAAACGCCCUGUAAUUGCUUUACUUUAUCACUAAGCGGUAGCGAUAGUCGUAGAAGCAAUAGAUGGCGUAACGACAACGAUGCUAUGAUGGAGAUCAAGGUGUCGCGCCGGUGGCGAUGGUGAUCACGACGGUGCUUCGAAGAUGGAGAUCACAAGCACAAGAUGAUGAUGGCCAUAUCAUAUCACUUAUAUUGAUUGCAUGUGAUGUUUACCCUUUAUGCAUCUUAUCUUGCUUUGAUUGACGGUAGCAUUUUAAGAUGAUAUCUCACUAAAUUAUCAAGAAGUGUUCUCCCUGAGUAUGCACCGUUGCGAAAGUUCUUCAUGCUGAGACACCACGUGAUCACUACUAGGGAAAAGCCUAUGCACAGAAUCUUACUAGCAGCGCUCCACAAAAUACCACGCUGCUGCUACUUAGCAGCAGCGCGUGUUAGAGAAACGCGCUGCUGACAGGAAAAUAGCAGUAGCGCGUCCACCACAAACCGUGCUACUGCUAUNNNNNNNNNNNNNNNNNNNNNNNNNNNNNNNNNNNNNNNNNNNNNNNNNNNNNNNNNNNNNNNNNNNNNNNNNNNNNNNNNNNNNNNNNNNNNNNNNNNNNNNNNNNNNNNNNNNNNNNNNNNNNNNNNNNNNNNNNNNNNNNNNNNNNNNNNNNNNNNNNNNNNNNNNNNNNNNNNNNNNNNNNNNNNNNNNNNNNNNNNNNNNNNNNNNNNNNNNNNNNUGAAGCGCGCUACUGCUAUAGAAGUUAGCAGCAGCGCGCUUAUAGGAAAAACCGCUACUGCUAAGAUCGGCCCACAAGUUUAGUCCCACCUCGCUCCGUGAACAGGGUGUUUACCACCUUAAAUAUGUUAUUUCUGAAACUACCACAACCAGUUGGUCUUCACUGAACUCUAUGUGUAAAAUUUGUGGCCGCAAUAUGAGUCCUCUCCAGUUCCUACCGGAUAGGACUCAUAUUGACAAUUCAGAUUGUACAUAAAAAGAUCAUUGAUGGCCAAUGUAUCUUUUGCAUUGACGUAUUUUUUGUAUAGUUACACUUAGCAGUAGCGGUUUAUGUGCAAGGCGCUACUGCUAUUCAGAUUAGUUGUAGCACGUUUUGGCAAAUGCGCUACAACUAUCCCUACCUUAUCCCCACGCGCACGACCGGCCCUCACUCACACUCUCGCUCUCGCCCCCUGUGCCGAUAACCGUCGUCGUGCGUCGUUGCCGCCGCCGCCUUCGUCCGUCCGCCGCCGAGGUACUCCCCUCCUUCCGUACCUCCUCCCUCCUCCUCGCACAUCCUCCCUCCGCCUGCGGCCGCCCCUCCCUCCUCCGCCGCCGCCCUCCUCCCUCCGCCUGUGGCCGCCCCUCCUCCCUCCUCCGCCGGCAGCCCUCCUCCCACCGCCCUCGACCUCGCCGCCCCUAGCUACCUCUCCGUNNNNNNNNNNNNNNNNNNNNNNNNNNNNNNNNNNNNNNNNNNNNNNNNNNNNNNNNNNNNNNNNNNNNNNNNNNNNNNNNNNNNNNNNNNNNNNNNNNNNNNNNNNNNNNNNNNNNNNNNNNNNNNNNNNNNNNNNNNNNNNNNNNNNNNNNNNNNNNNNNNNNNNNNNNNNNNNNNNNNNNNNNNNNNNNNNNNNNNNNNNNNNNNNNNNNNNNNNNNNNNNNNNNNNNNNNNNNNNNNNNNNNNNNUAGUACUAGAUUUAGUAGUUGUAGAUGUUAAUUUAGGGUUCAUAGCUAGUACUAGAUGUUGCUUAGUUAGUACUAGAUUUUUAGUAGUAGUAGAUGUUAAUUACUAGUAGUGAUGGUACUAGUUAUCUAGAUGUUGCUUAGUUAGUACUAGAUUUUUAGUUGUAGUUGAACUAGUUUACUAAGUAAAUUAAUAUAACUAGUUGAACUACUUUAUUUUUAGAAAGAACUAGUUUUUUUCUAUUUAUAGUAAGUUUAUAUUUAGUAAGAACUAGUUGAAUUAAUAAAACUAGUUGAACAUGUCAUAUUUGUUGUUAUUUUUUAGUUUCAGCAAUUAUUCGGGAUGUAUUAGUGAUAACUUAUAUGGUUUCUCAGGUGACCACCGUCGUCCCCAUCAUCGACCCCCUCCGACAUCCCCGCCGUCGUCCCCGUCACCGACCCCCUCCGACAUCCCCGUCGUUGUCCCAGUCACCGACCCCCUCCGACAUCGAGGUGAGACCAGCCAAAUAUCCUUGUAUAUCUUGUGUUGUUACUCAAAUAGGAUAUGUGGUUGCCAAGUGGCCGUUCAUGUUCAGUUUAUAUCUCCGAGUGGCCUAUGUUUUGCCGGAGUGUUGAUUAAUUUCCGUUCCGGCAAAUUUCAGGCGCUCGAUAUGUCCUUUUUUAGCAAAGGUCAUGCCGGAUUUUUUCGUGAAUUCUGGCAUGACUUGUGCUAGAAUAUGUACAGGUUUAAUCUUUGAAUUAUGAACGUAGGAAAUGUCGUACUCGGACGACGAGAGUCUCCCGGGGGAGUGUAGCUGGUGCCACGACGAUCGAGGUAUGUGCGACAGGUUCGUUCAGCUGGACGAAGAUCGGCGCUUCAGCAUUAAGCUCGAUGAGACCUUCGAUUGUGAAACGGUACGCAACAACAACAAGUGUUUUUUUUCGUAAUUAAGCAUGACUUCAACUAUUUCAGCGUCUAAUUUUCAUAUUUUACAAUUCGACUAGCUUAUCCCAUGCCAUGCAAGACGCUAUGUCUUGGAGAGGAUGGGUUUUGAAGACCAUGAAAAUUUCAAAACAAAGAAAAUACACCUAAGGACCCAUCAUGAUAUGGAUUUUGAAGUAAAUCUGUGCAAUGCUCAGAGCGUAACCCAUUUUGGUUGCCAAAAUUGGGAAGCACUUUGCAAAAUGUAUGGUUUUUAUGAGGGUAUGAUUGUCACCAUGGAUCUUGGUGAUCCUGACAUUGAGCAAGACAAUAUGGACAUUUGGGUCCUUGUUGAUACGCUUCCGAUUGUACCGCUAUGUGAGUUUCUCAAACAUAGUUAUUAACUAAUUUAUAUUGUUUAUUUCAAAAUUGUUGAUAGCUUAUUUCCAUUGACAGCUUGUUUUGAUUCUUCAAAGACUGUGCGGAAGAUGGUAGAUAAAACCCACUACACCGAUGGCACCGAAUUAACGUAUAAGGAGAAAAAUCAUCUGAUCGCAUUUUGUACUCUUCUUGAGAAUUACAAUAACUAUUAUCGAACUCCUCCAAAUUAUGGUGAAUGCGUGCCACUAGUGCAUGUGUUGAACCACGGUAACUUCUCUGGAGAUACCCUGGUAAGAUUUUUUACUAUUACGACAUCCAUGCAUCUUUUGCAUACUUCUAAAAUUAGUACAUCAUUGCUAACUACGAAGUUAUUAUUAUGUUUUUCAACAGAAACUCCCAAUGGAUUGUGUGCCUCAUCUGAUGUCUCUGAAUGGUCGCCUCUCAGUUCUGAACAUAAUGCCAGGUAAAUCUAGGGAGCUCACCUGUGCAUAUCGGAUUUCUAAAACCGGUGAACACAUGAUCAUCAAAGAAUGGAAGAAAUGUAUGGACAUUCGCAAGGAGGUUCUUGGAAGUAACAUUCAGCGAAAGGCAAGAAUUGGAGACAGGCUAAUCUCCAUUCUCCAUAAUGGAGAGUCAGGGGCUAUCUUGUUUUUUUCUAUUUUACCUUAGAAAAUGUAGUAGGUCUUAAUCGAAUGUAGUAGGUCCUAUGAGGUACAAUAUGUUUAUUAUGUGGUAAUGUGUUAGAGUUGAUAAUGAGGAGUACUUGUGAUUAUGACUAGUGACCAAUUUGCUAUGUGAUGUCAUUGAUGAAAACGAUGAUCUUGAGGAGGUGUUAUAUGACAAUGAUGUAUUAUGAUGAUAAGUUGUUAAUGAUAUGAUGAUGAUGAUGAUAGUCCACGGUUCUUUCACCCCGUGAUGUAAUAACUCAUCAUGAUGUAAAAACAAUCUCUAAAUUCCUGUUGUAUGAAAACUUGUGUAAAGGUGUAUGAAUACAACAUGAAAUAAAAAAAGAAAAAAAAUACUAAAUAGUAGUAGUAGCGCGGUCCUGAAGAAGCGCUACUACUAAGUCAAUUUAGCAGUAGCGUGGAUCUAGGCACGCUAUUGCUAAGCAUUAGCUGUAGCGCCUUAUCAGUAGCACUCCUGCCCGUGCUACUGAUAGGCCUAAAACCCGCGCUGCUGCUAGGCUUUUUCCUAGUAUUUGAUGAUCGGGUGUGAUAGGCUCUACGUUCAAAUACAACGGGUGCAAAACAGUUGCACACGCGGAAUACUCAGGUUAAACUUGACGAGCCUAGCAUAUAACAGAUAUGGCCUCGGAACAUGGAGACCGAAAGGUCGAACGUGAAUCAUAUAGUAGAUAUGAUCAACAUAGUGAUGUUCACCAUUGAAACUACUCCAUCUCACGUGAUGAUCGGACAUGGUUUAGUUGAUUUGGAUCACGUGAUCAGUUAGAUGACUAGAGAGAUGUCUGUCUAAGUGGGAGUUCUUAAGUAAUAUGAUUAAUUGAACUUAAAUUUAUCAUGAACUUAGUACCUGGUAGUAUUUUGCAAAUUAUGUUGUAGAUCAAUAGCUUGCGUUGUUGCUUUCAUAUGUUUAUUUUGAUAUGUUCCUAGAGAAAAUUGUGUUGAAAGAUGUUAGUAGCAAUGAUGCAGAUUGGAUCCGUGAUAUGAGGUUUAUCCUUAUUGCUGCACAGAAGAACUAUGUCCUUAAUGCACCGCUAGGUGACAGACCUAUUGCAGUAGCAGUUGCAGACGUUAUGAACGUUUGGCUAGCUCAAUAUGAUGACUACUUUAUAGUUUUGUGCACCAUGCUUUAUGGCUUAGAAUCGGGACUUCAAAGACGUUUUGAACGUCAUGGACCAUAUGAGAUGUUCCAGGAGUUUAAGUUAAUAUUUGAAGCAAAUACCCGAGUUGAAAGAUAAGAAGUCUCCAACAAGAUCUAUAGCUAAAAAGAUGGAGGAGAAUUGCUCAACUAGUGAGCAAGUGCUUAGAUUGUCUGAGUACUAACAAUCACUUGAAUCAAGUGGGACUUAAUCUUCCAGAUAAGAUAGUGAUUGGCAGAGUUCUCUAGUCACCAUCACCAAGUUACUGGAACUUCGUGAUGAACUAUAAUGCAAGGGAUGACGAAAAUGAUUCCCGAGCUCUUCGUGAUGCUGAAAUCGACGAAGGUAGAAAUCAAGAAAAGAGCAUCAAGUGUUGAUGAUUGACAAGAUCACUAGUUUCAAGAAAAAGGGCGAAGGGAAAGAAAGGGAACUUCAAGCAGAAUGGCAAGCAAGUUGUCACUCCCGUGAAGAAGCCCAAAGCUGGACCAAAGUCUGAAACUAAGUGCUUCUACUGCAAAUGGUCACUAGAAGCGGAAAUGCCCUGAAUAUUUGGUGGAUAAGAAGGAUGGCAGAGUGAACAAGGGUAUUUUUGAUAUACAGGUUAUUGAUGUGUACCUUACUAGUGUUUAUAGUAGCCCUUGAGUAUUUGAUACUUGUUCAGUUGCUAAAAAAAUUAGUGACUCGAAACAGGAGUUACAGAAUAAACAGAGACUAGUUGAGGGUGAAGUGACGAUGUGUGUUGGAAGUGGUUCCAAGAUUGAUAUGAUCAUCAUCGCACACUCCCUAUACUUUCGGGAUUAGUGUUAAACCUAAAUAAAUGUUAUUUGGCAUUUGCGUUGAACAUGAAUAUGAUUUGAUCAUGUUUAUUGCGAUACAGUUAUUCAUUUAAAGUCAAAGAAUAAUUGUUGUUCUGUUUACAUGAAGAAAACCUUCGAUGGUCAUACACCCAAUGAAAAUAGUUUGUUGGAUCUCGAUCGUAGUGAUACACAUAUUCAUAAUAUUGAUGCCAAAAGAUGCAAAGUUAAUAAUGAUAGUGCAACUUAUUUGUGGCACUGCCGUUUGGGUCAUAUCGGUGUAAAGCGCAUGAAGAAACUCCAUAAAGAUGGAUUUUCGGAAUCACUUGGUUAUGAAUCAUUUGAUGCUUGCAAACCGUGCCUUUUGGGCAAGAUGACUAAAACUCCGUUCUCCGGAACAAUGGAACAAGCUACUGACUUAUUGGAAAUAAUACAUACCGAUGUAUGCGAUCCGAUGAGUGUUAAGGCUCAUGGCAAGUAUCGUUAUUUUCUAACCUUCACAGAUGAUUUGAGUAGAUAUGGGUAUAUCUACUUCAUGAAACAUAAGUCUGAAAUAGUUGAAAAGUUCAAAGAAUUUCAGAGUGAAGUGGAAAAAUCAUCGUAACAAGAAAAAUAAAGUUUCUACGAUCUGAUCGUGGAGACGAAUAUUUGAGUUAUGAGUUUGGUCUUCAUUUGAAACAAUGUGAAAUAGUUUCGCAACUCACGCCAUCUGGAACACCACAAUGUAAUGGUGUGUCCGAACGUCGUAAUCGUACUUUACUAGAUAUGGUGCGAUCUAUGAUGUCUCUUAUCGGUUUACCACUAUCGUUUUGGGGUUAUGCAUUAGAGACAGCUGCAUUCACGUUUAAUAGGGCAACAUCUAAAUCUGUUGAGACGACAUCGCAUGAACUAUGGUUUAGCAGUAAACCUAGCUAAGCUGUCGUUUCUUAAAGCUUGGAGUUGCGAUGCUUAUAUGAAAAAGGUUUUCAACCUGAUAAGCUCGAACCCAAAUCGGAGAAGUGCGUCUUCAUAGAAUACCCAAAGGUAACUAUUGGGUACACCUUCUAUCACAGAUCUGAAGGCAAGUUAUCCGUUGCUAAGAUGGAUCCUUUCUAGAGAAGAAGUUUCUCUCGAAAGAAGUGAGUGGGAGGAAAGUAGAACUUGAUGGGGUAAUUGUACCUUCUCCCUUAUUGGAAAGUAGUUCAUCACGGAAAUCAGUUCCAGUGAUUCCUACACCAAUUAGUGAGGAAGUUAAUGAUGAUGAUCAUGAAACUUCAGAUCAAGUUGCUACCAAACCUCGUAGGUCUUCCAGAGUAAGAUUCGCACCAGAGUGGUACGGUAAUCAUGUUCUGGAAGUCAUGUUACUAGACCAUGAUGAACCUACGAACUAUGAGGAAGCGAUGAUGAGCCCAGAUUCCACGAAAUGGCUUGAGGCCAUAAAAUCUGAGAUAUGAUCCAUGUAUGAGAACAAAGUAUGGACUUUGAUUGACUUGCUCGAUGAUCAGCAAGCCAUGUUAAAUAAAUGGAUCUUCAAGAGGAAGACGGACACUGAUAGUAGUGUUACUAUCUACUAAGCUCGACUUGUUGCGAAAGGUUUUCAACAAGUUCAAGGUGUUGAAUACGAUGAGAUUUUCUCACUCGUAUCGAAGCUUAAGUCUGUCUGAAUCAUGUUAGCAAUUGCCACAUUUUAUGAGAUCUGGCAAAUGGAUGUCAAAACUGCAUUCCUUAAUGGAUUUAUUAAAGAAGAGUUGUAUAUGAUGCAACCAGAAAGUUUUUGUCAAUCCUAAAGAUGCUAACAAAGUGUGCAAGCUCCAGCAAUCCAUCAAUGGACUGGUGCAAGCAUCUCGGAGUUGGAAUAUACGCUUUGAUGAGUUGAUCAAAGCAUAUGGUUUUAUACAGACUUUUGGAAAGACCUGUAUUUACAAGAAAAUGAGUGGGAGCACUACAGCAUUUCUGAUAAGUAUAUGUGAAUGACAUAUUAUUAAUUGGAAAUGAUGUAGAAUUUUCUGGAAAGCAUAAAGGAGUGUUUGAAAGAAGUUUUUCAAAGAAAGACCUCGGUGAAGCUGCUUACACAUUGAGCAUCAAGAUCUAUAUAGAUAGAUCAAGACGCUUGAUAAGUUUUUCAAUGAGUACAUACAUUUAUAAAUUUUUGAAGUAGUUCAAAAUGGAACAGUCAAAGAAAGAGUUCUUGCCUGUGUUGCAAGGUGUGAAGUUGAGUAAGACUCAAAACCCGACUAUGGCAGAAAAUAGAAAGAGAAUGAAAAGUCAUUCCCUAUGCCUCAGUCAUAGGUUCUAUAAAGUAUGCUAUGCUGUGAACCAGACCUAUUGUAUACCUUGCUCUGUGUUUGGCAAAGGAAUACAAUUUUGAUCUAAUAGUAGAUCACUGGACAGCGGUCAAGAAUAUCCUCAGUGAGGACCAAGGAAAUACUUCUCGAUUAUGGAGGUGAUAAAAGAGCCUGUCGUAAAAAGUUACAUCGGUGCAAGCUUUUACACCGAUCCAGAUGACUCUAAGUCUCAAUCUGGAUACAUAUUGAAAGUAGGAGCAAUUAGCUAGAGUAGCUCCAUGCAGAGCAUUGUAGACAUAGAAUAUUUGCAAAAUACAUACGGCUCUGAAUGUGACAGACCCGUAGACUAAACUUCUCUCACGAGCAAAACAUGAUCAUACCUUAGUACUCUUUGGGUGUUAAUCACAUAGCGAUGUGAACUAGAUUAUUGACUCUAGUAAACCCUUUGGGUGUUGAUCACAUGACGAUGUGAACUAUGGGUGUUAAGCAUAUACAGUUAUGAAUAUUGGUGUUAAAUCACAUGAUGAUGUGAACUAGACUAUUGACUCUAGUGCAAGUGGGAGAUUGAAGGAAAUAUGCCCUAGAGGCAAUAAUCAGGUUAUUAUUUAUUUCCUUAUAUCAUGAUAAAUGUUUAUUAUUAAUGCUAGAAUUGUAUUAACCAGAAACAUAAUACAUGUGUGAAUACAUAGACAAACAUAGUGUCACUAGUAUGCCUCUAUUUGACUAGCUCGUUUAUCAAAGAUGGUUACGUUUCCUAGCCAUGGACAAAAGAGUUGUCAUUUGAUUAACAGGAUCACAUCAUUGGGAGAAUGAUGUGAUUGACUUGACCCAUUCCGUUAGCUUAGCACUUGAUCGUUUAGUAUGUUGCUAUUGCUUUCUUCAUGACUUAUACAUGUUCCUAUGACUAUGAGAUUAUGCAACUCCCGUUUACCGGAGGAACACUUUGUGUGCUACCAAACGUCACAACAUAACUGGGUGAUUAUAAAGGAGCUCUACAGGUGUCUCCGAAGGUACAUGUUGGGUUGGUGUAUUUCGAGAUUAGGAUUUGUCACUCCGAUUGUCGGAGAGGUAUCUCUGGGCCCUCUCGGUAAUGCACAUCACUAUAAGCCUUGCAAGCAAUGUGACUAAUGAGUUAGUUGCGAGAUGAUGUAUUACGUAACGAGUAAAGAGACUUGCCGGUAACGAGAUUGAACUAGGUAUUGGAUAACGACGAUCGAAUCUCGGGCAAGUAACAUGCCGAUGACAAAGGGAACAACGUAUGUUGUUAUGCGGUUUGACCGAUAAAGAUCUUCGUAGAAUAUGUGGGAGCCAAUAUGAGCAUCCAGGUUCCGCUAUUGGUUAUUGACCGAGAAUAGUUCUAGGUCAUGUCUACAUAGUUCUCGAACCCGUAGGGUCCGCACGCUUAACGUUACGAUGACAGUUAUAUUAUGAGUUUAUGAGUUUAUGAGUUUUGAUGUAUCGAAGGUUGUUCGGAGUCCCGGAUGUGAUCACGGACAUGACGAGGAGUCUCGAAAUGGUCGAGACAUAAAGAUUGAUAUAUUGGAAGCCUAUAUUUGGAUAUCGAAAUGGUUCCGGGUGAAAUCGUGAUUUUACCGAAACACCGGGGGGGUUACCGGAACCCUCCCGGGGGUUAAUGGGCCUUAGUGGGCCAUUAGGGAGAAGAGGAGGGCCGGCCAGGGCAGGUCGCGCGCCCCCUCCCCCCCUAGUCCGAAUAGGACAAGGAGGGGGGGCGCCCCCCUUUCCUCUUUCCCCUCCCCCCUUUCCUUCUCCACCAAGGCAAGAGGGGGGAGUCCUACUCCCGACGGAAGUAGGACUCCUCCAGGCACACCCCUAGGGGGCCGGCCGCACCUCCCCCCUCCCUCCUUUAUAUUCGGGGGCAGGGGGGCACCCUAGGACACGCAAGUUGAUCUACGUGAUUGUUCCUUAGCCGUGUGCGGUGCCCCCCUCCACCAUAUUCCACCUCGGUCAUAUCGUCGCAGAGUUUAGGCGAAGCCCUGCGCCGGUAGAACAUCAUCAUCGUCACCACGCCGUCGUGCUGACGGAACUCAUCCCCGACACUUUGUUGGAUCGGAGUCCGGGGAUCGUCAUCGAGCUGAACGUGUACUGAACUCGGAGGUGCCGUACGUUCGGUACUUGGAUCAGACGGAUCAUGAAGACGUACGACUACAUCAACCGCGUUGUCAUAACGCUUCCGCUUACGGUCUACGAGGGUACGUGGACAUUACUCUCCCCUCUUGUUACUAUGCAUCACCAUGAUCUUGCGUGUGCGUAGGAAUUUUUUUGAAAUUACUACGUUCCCCAACAAGGAUAUGACGUCACACCGAUCAAUGAGUUCCUCCACCACGUCAUCUUUCAGAUCGGGGCAAGAAUAACGGGGUCAUUUCUGGCAUGUUCCCUCCAUGGAGAAGAUGAUCGAACAAUGGCAGAAGGAAGGGUGAAGGCAAAUGGAGGAGGGAGAGGAAGAGCGUGCGACAACAGUUCCAAAUCGAGAGGGAAAGGCGAAUAGUCGGUGGACGGUUGCUAGUUUGCCACGGUACACGAAGAGGCGCCCCGGCCUACACGUCCGUUCGAAAAUACUAGUAGAAAAGGACUCGUCGUUGUCUCACUGAUAUGUUGGAACGGGACCACAUGUCAAUGAAACAUGGUGUGUAAUUUCUCGUGCAAAAUGCGAUCUGGCCGCGUUGGCCCGAGGUUCCGCAUUAGUUAUCGGCCUUUAUUUUUUUAAUGGCGUGCCAUUCAGUUUUGAAGCACGACUAACUAGUACUGUACGCAUAGAAAAUAUAAACUACUCUACCACUACUCCACCUCCAGUACUAGUAGUAUAAAAAAGAUAUAUAGGCUGGAGCUUCAACGCUUUCUUGCUAAGGGCUGCCCACUUGCUUCUCACACUAUCACCCUCUUUCCAGAUCUAAAAAAGACGGCCUCUCUCUCCCUCCUCACCAGUGGUCAUAGAUCCGCCGGGGAAGAAAAGGAUGUGCAGCGUUGAUGCACUCGUCAUCGGCAAGCGAGGUCACACACUAACGGCAAGGUCGUCCUCUCAGACCUAGCGUCCGCGCGGGAUGGCCUCCGUCCCCAAGCUCUCUACCCUAGUGUGUGCGGAGGACGACGACCACGAGCGAAGCCACUUCCCGCCGACCCUCAGGUAUGCUACCUCUUUUCGAACCAUACCCUUGUUCUAUUGCCCCAUCUGCCACGUCGUUGCAUGUGGAUCUUUUUCCACUCCACCAUCUUCCUAAUUUGCUAUCCUCUGCUCUGCUGGCCACAUAGACGAAAACCUUAAUUUGCACUAUUAAAGGAAACCCUACUUCAUGCAGACUAAUCCAUGUCUGGGUUGAAUAAGGAAAGGAAGGGAGACUGUACUAUCCAAGAGAGUAGGCAUCGAACCCACAUCUAGGUUGAAAAGGGGGAAAUCAGUAGUUAAGGAACGAGUCUCGUGUCUCUUGGUUGAAGAAGGGUAUAAAGGCAUGCCAACGCAAUAGAGAAUGACCAGGUCGAUCGGUUUGUUGUCCUCACAUAGGAAAAAGGUGGUAAAGAGAACAAAAAUGGGACGUAAUCCACAUAUGCUGCCUGGAUAUUUGUUGCUCUAGGCAACCAUACCUCCCUCACCACUCUGCAUCCGUGGAGGUACAUCCUACUAGUGCGCCCACUGUCCGAAUGGGCCUCCCAUGCUCUUAUUGCCACUUUUUUGUUGUUAGUAUAACACCAACAGUCGAGUCAAGCAAUGCUACUACUAAAGUGAUGCCACAUUUAACUAAUGCCACACUCAGUCUAAUGCCACCGAUAAAUUUAAGCAAUGCCAUUUAAAGUCACUGGAUUAUUUCAAGGUUAGCUGUUGAUUGUGGAUGUAUUAAAGAUUUUUCAGCUAAGGCAUUCUAAUGCUGUUGUACAGCGAGUAUACCAACGAUGAAUUUGUUACUACCUUCAGAUUUUUGCACUGUUAAUGCUUAUAGAUUACAUACCUCACUUUCAUGAGAUAAGUUAAUUUUUUUGUACAGUGUCACCAAAAUGCCAAGGCGCUGAUGUCAUUUUUUUUGGUUAACCAAGAGUGGGAACCUCCUCCUCCGGCUGUUCUCUUGAUUCGUUCGAUCAAGUUUUUAUGUUUGAUCGAUUAUCAAGAUUGGGAUAGCAAUUUUUAAGGUCCCCACGAGUUCGAAAUGAUAUUUACCUUGGAGGUACAUGGUUUGAAAAAAAUUUAUACUAUCAUUAGUUAAUAAUGCUAGUUACCUUCAUACUUUUUUAUUUGGUUUAAUGCUCAUGCACAGCUAGUAUACCAAUGCUGAAACUUGUUACCUUUACAUUUUGUAUUGUUAAUUCUUAUAGAAAUCUUCCAGUGCUAGAGUUCAUUGAAAUCUGUUCAGUAAAACCAUUGUACUGUACCCUAUAAUAAACUAACUACUCUACUGUUGCACUAGCCACUGGAUUAGUGUAUAUUUGUAGUAUUUAAUGGUGUUGCAUUAGUGUAUGGACAUAAAUAAAGUGUGGCAAGCUUUCCCAAAUAUGUGCUCAAGAAAACCACUACCUGUUUUUCUAAAUACUAGACGUUUGGGUACUUUAAAUUGAACCGCGAAAACGUCUUAUAUUAAGGAACAGAGGGUGUAGAGUUCACUCAAAUUAUCACGGUAAAUCUAGUCACACCUUUGUUAAAAUUAAUGUUCAUUAUGUUAUCGAAGGAGGUCUGUAUGUUUGUCUCUAAUGCCUGUCGACUACAUACCUGACAUCAUGAUGUAAUGUUAAGUCAUUUCCUUUUGUACAGUGUCACUGAAUUGUCAAGGCGGUGAUGGCAUUUUAUUUUAGUUGAACUACACAAAAUAUGCUUAAAAGAAGAGGAAAGGUAAGGAGUCGAUCAUUCUUUCAAAAAGAACUAUAUAUGCCUUUCUGACAUCAGCCGUUGUUGCCUUAUUUAUUCCUUCAAAUAGGUGGUUAGAACAAUCUUGCUAUCAUUUCCAUUAAGAAAUUGGAGUGCUUAUAUUUGUGAGUCUAUGCUUCAACUAGUAUCGCUUUUAUAGUAAUCACACUUUCAAUAUCUAUGCAAACAGGGAUGCUCGAUUUUAGUGGAACUGCACAAAAAGUCCAACUGGUUCAACAUUAGGAGCAUGUUUUCUUCCAAACCUUUAUAUCCAAUUGGUGGCACUAUGAGUUGUUCAUUACGAAGGUACAUGGUUUUCUACUAUCUUGCUACUCUUUUUGUACUGUCAUUAGAUAGUAAUACUAGUGGUUUGCAUGUGAAUUUAUUGGCAGGGUGGACCUACAUUGGAGGUGCAGGACAGGAUUCAAUGAUUGAAUGCUCAAUUUCGGUUGUAUCGAUUUCACCUCUUCCAUCACUGGAACAUGGAUAUCCUUGGUCUGAUGAAGAAUAGACGCUAUAUUCUGCUCUGAACGAGCAAAUCAAUUCAGUAUGAAAUUGUCAAGGGCAAAACAUAACUGUAUCAAAUUGUCUAGUGCAGAACAUGACAGAUGCUAAGCGGAAGAGACAUGUUUAAACCGAAAAUACAAGGUGUGGUAUAUGUUUACUAGUUGCUUGAUAUUUGUGGAGACAGAGAUGUCUGCCCGUUGCUAUUUGGCAAACAAACAAAGUGACCGCAAUUUUGGUUGAACUGCAUGCAGUGCCAUUUGACAAUAGACACAGGAAGAUUGGAUAGUCACUUCAUGGACUGCAGAAAAGUAGUACUGUACUAUUUAUUGGCCAACACUAGUGCUUCAUUGCUUUGGUCUGAUUAUACAAUGGGCAUCGUUUUGCCUAAGUUAAAGUUUGUAUUCCGAAAAUAAUCUCGCGGUGUGAUCGAGAGAAGACCAAAUCAUAUUGCAGUGGAUGUUCCUCCAUCGUGUGUGAUUCAUUCUCAUGGUUCCAGCUGUUGGUGAAACCACUUACGUUUGCAAGAGGAAUUGUAGACUUCACAAACAAAUUUGUCUUUCAGUCUGUACUAAAUGUUGGCCAAGAGAAGCAUCCAUGUUAGUAGGAAGAAUAGAUGUUUUUUCUAGAUCUUUGCUUCUGGAGCUACAUAUUUGUAUAUGAUCUGUGAAUCAUUGAGAUGCAUUAACAUGUUGAUCUUAUGUAUGGGAAUCGUACUAGUUGGUUUUAGUUGUGACGCAAGAUCCGAAGUGGGUGAUCUUUGCUUUUGGAGCUACAUAUUUGUAUAUGAUCUGUGAAUCAUUGAGAUGCAUUAACAGUUACUUAUUUAUGUUCGCUCAGUGUUUACAAGUUACUGAUCGAUCACUAGCUAGCCUACUAAUGCACUUCUGGCAGUUUUAUUUGCGACGCAAGAUCCAAAGCGGCAGUUUUUUGAAUAAAAAUGCAUACCUCUGAAGAAACUGACAAGCUACACUAUCCUACCUACUCGAUCCUACACGGGUAAAAUAGCGGAUCACGCACGUACUACCUCCUUUCCGGUUUGCAGGGCUCAAUUCAAGAAACGACCUACUCGAUCCUACACGAAUAAAUAGCGGAUCACGCACGUACUAGUACCCCCUUUCCGGUUUGCAGGGCUUAAUUCAAACCUCUCACCAACCAAGGUACUCCCUCCGUCCGGGUUUAUUAGUCCCGUGAACAAAGCAGCAAGACCAAGGCAUGGCAAUAAUUACCGGCAUGCAGAAGUUUAAGCCUAAUUAAUUUCAGCGAUUUAAGUGGCUGCAUGCGUGCCCUCGGCUGCGACUCAUUGCAUACUGCCCCGCGUACUUGCUGCGAGCGAUUCUGAGUGCCUGCAUGCAGCCGUCCGUAAUUAAGGAAGCUAACUAAUGCAAAAAAAGAUGCACUUUAAUUGUUGCGGGCUUUUUAAAUCCGUGGAAUCAUUAUUGACAAGGAGGGAGAUGAUUCGAGUGCACUCGUUUGACCGUCAUGCCGGCGUGCGACCCAGACGGGACGGGAUGGCACAAUCAUCAUUUCAGUUUCUCUAGUUUUCCACAGCAAGCUGGCACGCUAAGCCAUGCCUGCUUAUGCAUUGAAUUCCGAUGACCGUCGUGCUACCUUCCGCCUAUAAGUACUGUUUCCCGCCUUCUCCGGUGGCACCGUGACCCAACUCUCCAUAUCCUCAUAAGCCCCCACCGGCCCGACGUCGCUCGCCACGUCCGCCAUGCCCCCGCCCGUCCGCUGUAGGCGAGGCCGGAGGCGGUCACCGCCGGAACUAGUGUUCGAUUUUUCACCGGAAGGCAGACGGAGGAAGGAGGCAUUCUAUCUGUCUUUAGAUGGCAAUGCGGAGAUCGAGGACUUGUUGGAGCGCGACCGCCUGGCGGAGGAGCAGGAGUUGUUAGAGCGCGACCGCCUGGCGGAGGAGCAGCGUAUUGCCGAUUUGUGCCACCAGCGGGACAUGGAGUAGCAACGCACCGGCGCUCUGAGCCACGAGCAGAGCGCCCGCAAUUGGGCCUACUACGUGGAGGCCGGCGCCCGGCAAAUAGCUCUGGAGGCUGUCGGGCACGCACGCGUUCGCGACGCCGAUUUUUACUACCAGCUCGUCAAGUGGGUUUCCCGCUUGGAAGCCGAAGCUUCGUUGGACCAUGCCGGCAUGGAAAGGGCCAACGCGCGCGAGAAAUGCGCCCUAUCGCACCUCUGGCAAGUCCGAGGCGAGGUGCAGGACGCCGGUGCCGGCGUUUAGCGUGUACCGCAGAUGGCGGCCGGCAUCGCCUAGUUAGCUAAGAGUAAGUUAGUACUUGUAUGCUACUAGAGUAUUAGUGGGAGUAGAUAGUUAACUUGGCUAUGAUGGUUGUCAACAUGGAAGUUCAGUACUCUAUAUGUGGAUCAGACCUGAUACUUUGCUCUGAAUGUUGAACUUUCCGUUUGAACGUAUGAAAUGGGUUGUUAUUUUUUUAAAUGGGUUGUGUUUGUCCUCCACGGGUUUAGAGGCUGACUUGUGCGCCUACCAAGUUGAUGCGUACACAAUCAGGAGAUGAUUGUACGUGGAGAGGAUGACAGCAAGGACCCGCCAAGGUCAUGACAGUAAGCAAGCAAGUGCCUCCUUAUUUCAUGCCAUUAAAAAAAUGGCUCCUCCUAAUAGAUUUAUGACAUCUGGGUCCCAUGCCAUUGUCAAUGUAGUCAAUAAACGAGAGAAUUGCACAACGAGCGGCUGACACCAGGGACCCAGCAGCUCGGCCAGUUAUUUUUGUUUUGGGUUAAUUUGAUAAAUGCCACUCCAAAUCUGGUGUUUCCGAAAAAUGCCACUUUAAUUUCCAAACUUUGAAAAAUGCCAUUUCAUGCCAUUUCUAGUGGCAUUUUUCGAAGUCUGGAGUGGCGUUUUUUAAAGUUUGCAAACUGCAGUGGCGUUUUUCAAAGUUUGCAAACUGCAGUGGCGUUUUUUAAAGUUUGCAAAAAUUGAGUGGCAUUUUUCAAAGUUUGGAAAUUGUUGUGGCAUUUUUAUGAAUCGCUAUAAUUGGAGUGACAUUUAUCUAAAUUUUUUUGAUAUGAAAGCAAGGUGUCAACUGGGCUGUGUGGGACACUCUGGCCUGUCUAGAUAGCCUUUUCUUUUAUGUUUACCACAGACUAGCCCAGUAGUUUUUUUUCUUUCUGAAAAUGGCUAGCCCAGUUUUUUUGUGAUUUGUCAAGUAAGUCGCUUUGCUAGGCCUGCUGGGCUGCAAAUCUUUCAAGAUGGGGAGAGCUUCAUUCGGCUCACCGAGAAAAUGGCCUAUCAGUAAUGAGAAAUGGGCUGUAUAUUUUUAAAACACAUCAAACCAGUAAUUAGUUUCAAAUAUCUUUUUUUCAUUUCGAGAUUUUAAGUUACAUUGAUUUUUAUACGUGGACAAUUUAUUGGAUUUUAUAUUGAUAUACAUUUAUUUUUAAAAUCAGUCUGAAUGUGACUCAAAAUUUCGGGAGUAAAAACAGUUCAGACCGCACCGACAUAUGUGAAAUUUUGUAUAAUUUUUUAACCGUGGCCACAAUAUGGGAUGUAAUGCUAACAAAAAGAAUAUGAGCUUCAAAAAAACGUAAGAAUUAGCAAAUGGGCUGUAAAUUAUUAGAAAUAAUGGCAGAUGGCCUGUAUAUGCUGUUUUUCACAGAUUUGAGGCUUUCCUAAAAAAGGUUGACGCACAAGCAGUGACUGUUGGAUGUCCAUCCAACGGUCGCCAUGCUUCUUCAAUCUUUGAUCGUCCCCUUCCUAGGCCUCACCGUCGUCCACCGUCGUGGUGCUCUCGGCACGGCGUGGUCAAUGUGGUCAUCGACCGACUUCCAUCUGAAGAGUACUGUACGUGGAGAGGCUGACAACUGGGUCCACGGUAGCCGCAAGGAAGUGCCCCCUUCUUACGCGGAAAAUAAUUAUUCCUCCACCUGACAGCAGGGACCCACCGGACAUGCCACCAGUAUUUCACGAAAAAAUGUUUCCCCUGACUGCUGGGACCCACCAAACGGGCCACUGUAUUUCACAAAAAAAAUGUUUCCCCCUGACUGCUGGGACCCACCGGACGGGCAACCGUAUUUCGCGAAAAAAAUGUUUCCCCCGUUGUCAGCUCAGACCUACCGGAAGUGCCUCCUUAUUACGCACAAAAAGAUGAAUACCCCCUACUAGCUGGGACCCACCUUGGUGGGAGGCUAACUUGUGGGCCUACUAAGUUGACUGGGACGGAGGCCUUUGUCAACUUUAGUCAAUAUGAACAAUUCUACCUCCAGUGACCAUACGAUGUCCAUCCAACGGCCGAAGUGCUUCUUCAACCUCUGGUCUUCUUGCUCCAGCCGCCUAAAGCAGCGCCGGUCGUGCUGCAUGCUCCUGCCUCCCGUGGUCGGCUGUGAUGUCGCGGAGGCCUCAUCGCCUCCUACUACUCCCACCGCUGGCCAGGCCAUCCCUCUACUCACCCACACCCCCUGUUAUUCUGCGGCGACGGGAGCCUCACACCACAGCCGAACUAGUGAACCCUCGUAAUCCUCUCCGCGUGGGCAUCCACUGCCGCGUCUUCCCCGGCUCCGCGUCGUCCCCUUCCUAGGCCUCGCCGUCAUCCACCGCCGUGGUGCUCUCGGCGCAACAUGGUCAUUGUGGUCAACGACCCACUUCCAUCGGAAGAGUACUGUAUGUCGAGAGGCUGACAGCUGGGUCCACGACAGCUGCAAGGAAGUGCCUCCUCAUUACGCGCAAAAUAAUUAUUCCUCCACCUGACAGCGGGGACCCACCGGACGGGCCACCGUAUUUCGCGAAAAAAACGUUUCCUCCUGACUAUUGGGACCCACCAGCUACAUCUUCGCACGCAAGAAAAUGCGUCCGGGCAAAAAAAACGAUUCACCCCCCUGACUGUUGGGACGCACCAGCUACAUUUUCGCACGCAAGGAAGUGCCUGACAGUCGGGACCCACCUGGUUGAAGCAUACGUAGCGUUGUCAUUCUGGUCGCGAACGUGUACGUACAUAUAUACUGGUCGAUGUAGAGGCGCACGUGUCAUAGUAGAGGCGCGCACGUAGCAUGUACACGUACGUACAACGGACAGGGUGCAAGAAAAAAAAUACGGCCAUGUACGUACAUACGGGCUGGGUCUCGAACGCCUACUCGCUCAUACGUAUGGCCAGGGCUCAUGUACGCGGCUGGGUCGGAACGGAGAAACUACGUCAUCGUCCUGUUCAUGGGGAGGCAACGGAAUAUGUCGUGUUCAUGGGGAGGCAACGAAAUGCUCGUGUUCAUCGGGGGGCAACAGAACGCGUGGGAGCCAACCGGCUUAGACGGAACAUGCGAUGGAAACGAGGCCUGGCGUACCGCAUAACGGAGGAAAUGGCCUUGUGUUCGACCGGCCACGUUCGAAACGGGAUCCUGUUCAUCGGGAGGGGUCUGGUGUACCACAAAACAGAGGAAACAGACUUGUGUUGGACCUCCUACGGUCGAACUGGGGUCCUGUUGAUCGGGAGGGGUGUGGCUUACCGUAAAAUGGAGGAAACGGACUUGUGUUGGAGCGUUACGGUCGAAACGGGGGUCCUGUUCAUUGGGAGGGGGUGUGGCGUACCGCAAAACGGGACUCCACGGGAUACUGUUCAUCUCCAUCGUCGACCUCCUUCAACCUCCACGGGCUACUGUUCAUCCACCGUCGACCUCCUCUAGCCUCCACCUGCGACUAUUCAUCCACGGGCUCCUGUUCAUCCAUCCUCCACCGCGCGCUACUCCACCGGCUACUGUUCAACCACCCCUCUCCACGGGCUCCUGUUUAACCACCCCUCCACGGGUUACUGUUCAUUCACCCAUCCACCGUCUACUGUUCAUCCAGCCCUCCACGAGGUCGUUCUGUUCAUCCAGCCCUCCACGGGGUCCUGUUCAUCCAGCCCCAACCGGCUUGAUUGAUCGGGGUCCUAUUCAUCCAGAGGCAAUGCCACGGGGUCCUAUUCAUCCACCCCCACCGCUCACUAUUCAUCCACCCCCCGGCAACGCUCACUGUUCAUCUAGAGGCAGCAUCGAUCGGCUUCAGUUAGCAGUAGCGAAGGAAUCGCUCGAUCGCUCGGGUUCAGUAAUGUGUAGCCUGCAGUGCAAUCGCUCGGGUUCAGUUAGAGCCCAACGCCUCGCACACACGCGCGCACGUGUACGAGAGAAAAACGCAUCGCUCAGCCCCCGACCACCCACCGUAACCGGGAACUCCUCGAAAUUUUCCUUGCCCUCGCUUCUACCACGGUUUUUUCCGUCAUGGACGGCCCAAAGAAUGUCAUGCAGCUGCGUCUCCGGCCUGCCCAGGACGAAAAGCCCAUUUUCUAUCAUGAUUUUUUGUCAUAGAAGUAGGAGCCCACCACAUCUAUGAUGAUACCGGGUUUUGUCACAAUUAUCAUCAUAGAAGUGUCAUAAGUAUGACAAAAAAAAUUGUUCGGCCCAAAAUGUCACGGAUGUGUCUUUUUUUUGUAGUGUAUGCACGGUUUGGAGAGUCCAUGCACCCCCCCUCCCCCCUCUUUCACAGUUUAAGUAUCUACGGGUGCAUUUGUUUGAGUUUCCAUAUCAAUGGGAUACAAUAGUUUACCUCACUGCAAUUGGUCAUUUGUUUUUACCGAGGCUGAAGGUUUCAGCCAUAUCAGCUGGCAUAGCACUCCCAGCUGAAAUUCAAGGGCUUGCUCUCUAGAUUUACAGUGCAAUCCCACACAAAGCUUCCCAUCAGAUAUAACUGGCUUGAUCAACUUGUUUCACUUGGUACUACCGUAUGGCACUGUGCUGCCUGAAGGAAUCCAGACUAUGAAAUCAAUCGGCACCCUGCAUUGUUCGGGCAUCUCGGAUAGUGCGCUAGAGAAUAUAAUAGGCCUUAGCGAGCUGACCAAUCCGAAGGAAUUGACCUUGAGGAUGCUUUACCGCCAAUGCUUGACAAUAGAACAAGUGGAUGCUUUGGUCUCCUCCGUUGGAAUGCUCGGAGGCCUAAGGAGCCUCUCCCUCAAAUGUCAUCUUGAAUGGGAUGGUAAUGGCAGGUAGCUGGAGUCAUUACCUGAUCCUCCUCCCGAUCUCGAGGUACUCGAUCUGUCAAUGUGGGAGUUUGGUAGAGUUCCGAAAUGGAUUGGUGAACUACGUUUCCUACGGGUUCUCUCUCUUAACGUCUUGCACCUGUCGAAUGACGAGGUUUGUGUUCUUGGAGAACUUUCGUUCCUCGUCCAUGCCUGGCUCCACGUGUCGAAGGUCUCCCAAGACAAGGUUGUGGUCGGCACGCGGUUAUUCCUUGUUCUGAAGUACUUUGCGAUCCGGUCUGAUGAAGAUGUCACCACGUACCUGAGCUUCGAGGCAGGAGAUAUGCCCAUGCUACAAACGCUCGUUCUGUGAUUCGGCUGAAAAGAGUGGAGAGGUUCUACGCCGGUCGGCAUGGAGUUUCUGACCUGCCGCAGGGACAUCCGAGUGUGGCUCUAACACACCGACAUGGGUCAGGCAAUCGGUAACACAUAAACGCCAAUGUCGAGUCUCCCUUCAAGAAAGCCGCACGGGUGCACCCAAGAGAUCCAUCAGCUUAACAGACACCUGGUUUUCUAAAAAAGAGAUUUAAAAAAGUCAUGAAUUUGGAAAAAGAUCACCAACAUGAAAAACAGUUUGUGAAUUUUAAAAAGUUCAUGAAUUGGAGAAAAUCUUCAUGAAUUUUGGAAAAGUUCAAAAAUACGAUUUUUUUUUGCUAAUUUAGAAAGUUUUCUAAAAAAGAGAUUUAAAAAGUCAUGAAGUUGGAAAAAGAUCACCAACAUGAAAAACAGUUUGUGAAUUUUAAAAAGUUCAUGAAUUGGAGAAAAUCUUCAUGAAUUUUGGAAAAGUUCAAAAAUACGAUUUUUUUNNNNNNNNNNNNNNNNNNNNNNNNNNNNNNNNNNNNNNNNNNNNNNNNNNNNNNNNNNNNNNNNNNNNNNNNNNNNNNNNNNNNNNNNNNNNNNNNNNNNNNNNNNNNNNNNNNNNNNNNNNNNNNNNNNNNNNNNNNNNNNNNNNNNNNNNNNNNNNNNNNNNNNNNNNNNNNNNNNNNNNNNNNNNNNNNNNNUUAGAAAAUGUUCACUAAUUUGAAAAAGAAAAUCAAAAUAUAUUAAAAUGUUCACAAAUUUGGAAAACUUUCAUGAAUUUGUAUAAAUUCUAUGAAUUUUUAAAUGUUCAUGGACUUAAAAAUUCUUCAUGAAUUUGAAAAAACUUGCAGAUUUGAAAUUGUUAACAAAAAAUAAAAAAUAAGCUCAUGAUUUUGAAACAGUUUGCGAUUUCCAAAAAUGUUUAGGAAAUUGAAAAAAAAACCAUGGAAUAUUUUAAAAAGGAAAAGAAGAAUUUUUUUUAAGAUGAAACAAAAACCCCUGACAAAACCAAACAAAAAAUGGUGAAAGAGAAACCACAGAAAACCCAGUGGGAGGAGAGAUAUUGGGCCACAACUCGCUUAGAUGUACCACAACUGGAUCACUACCCGAUCCUCCUCCCCGUCUCGAGGUACUCGAUCUGGCAAUGUGGGAGUUCAGUAUAGCUCCGAAAUGGAUUGGUGAACUACAUUGCCUACGGGUCCUCUCUCUUCAAGUCUUGCACCUGUUGAGUGACGAGUUUUGCGUUCUUGGAGAGCUUCCGUCCAUCUGGUUCGACAUGUUGAAGGUCUCCUAAGACAAGGUCGUGGUCGGCACGCGGUAAUUCCCAAUUCUGGAGUACUUUACGAUCCGGUCUGAUGAAGAUGUCACCUCGUACCUAAGCUUCGAGGCAGGAGGUAUGCCCAUGCUACAAACGCUCAUUCUGCGAUUCGGCUGGAAAGUCGGCAUGGAGUUUCUGACCUGGCUCAGGGACAUCCGUGUGUGGCUCAAACACACCAGCUGUGUGUCAGGCGAAAAUCGGCAACACAUAAGCGCCAAUGUUGAGUCUGCCUUCAAGAAAGCCGCAUGGGUGCACCCAAGACAUCCAUCUGUCUCAGUCACCUUGCUAGCCGGUUAAUUAAUUUAUUUGUCAUCACGUGUAGAAUUUGGAAAUGUUUUGUCUUAGUAAAACUUGCCUGUAUCUCGAACAGUAUGUGUAUUUAUAGUUGUAUAUUUCUCAACAUGUUUAAUUACAAUGGCAACAGAAUAUGCACAUGCUGCGACUAGGAAGCAACAGAAUAUGUAAAUGGCAACAACUUCAAUCACUUGCAGCACCGUCUAUCAGAACCGAAUCAUCACCAGCGAUAAUUAAUUUGCUGGUGAGGUCUGAUGGUCGCUGCAGGGGUGGAACACAUGGAUUCAAAUCAAAACUUUAAGAGUAGGGACCGGAGACGAUCACAUCAGACAUAAACUGGUACAUGGAGCUCCCAACUCAACUAAUCCAAAGCUCAAAGGAGUUAAUUUCUGCUUCCCAAACAAACAGAGACAGAUGGAAAAAAAAUGUUACAUGCAGCUUAAGAGAUAGUAACAAUCUCGAUUUCACCUUGAAAUUAGCAAAACCUUCUCAGGAAUAUCAACAACAGCUCAUAUAUCCUAGUAAAAGCUUGGAACAGUGUAUGCAUCUAUCAUUUUGGGGUUAAGAACGAAAAAUAUAUCAACAACAGCCAUUGUCCUAAAAUAGUUCAGGAAAGUGCAUCUUAGGCAUUACAUUAGAAAAAUAUCAACGGCAGUGUCCUAAAAAUGUCAGCUAGUUAGAACUGAAUAUUAGGAACCAUGUUAUGCUCUGCUAUGCAAGGAGGCUGCAAUCUAAAUAGGAAUCAAGUCACAGAACCAAUAAAAUUAUCGCCAUUAAUAACUUAUAGAGAAUGUGUUGUAUUCUACUACAAGUUACACCAAAUUAAGAAAUAUGUAUGGUAUGUAAAGGAUCACCGAUCCUCGCUACCACAUUUGAGUAAGCCGGAGCCUAGCUUCAAAUAUUGACACCACCAAUUAAAAUUCAGAUGAAAAGUAAGAUCGCCGAACUCACUAAAUCAUGCGUAUUUAAGUUAAGGCACUCUCCAAGUUCGUGCCCAAGGAUAUCUAUCUCCAGGUCCACAUCUAAGUAAGAUCUUGCAAAUAGAAAAACUAUGCUCUUCAAAUCUCCUGUGACGAUUACUUACGCAGCAACUUUCCUGUGGCAGCAUUUAAAACAGUAUUUUUAUUUGUAUAAGUAUGUACUCCCGACUAACCUGCCUGGAAACAACUGAAAAUACAAGGGGCAAAUUAAGCAACACCAUGGAAAUCGGUUACCAGAUCACAAACAGCCGCAAUCUGACAACCAAAACACAAGCUUGCCAAUAUAAAGGAGCAGUGAUGAAGAAUGCGUAAACAUGAUGGCAAGCAGAAAACAGGCCCGCAUAAAGAGAGGCAAAAUAUAACCAGGGCGCAAAUUGUGUUCACAUGAUAUUGCUCCAGUAUAGUUUACAAACAAUUGGAUGGAACCCCCUACAAUUCUGCAGCUAUGAACAGCUAACUGUAAGGCGUGAAUUUAACUAAUGACAUGAAGCAAUGAUACAAACAGAAGCAGGUGCAGAUUUCAGUAACCAAAACAACCAGUGACCGGAAGAAAUGUAUCUUAAUCACAUUAGAAUAGAUGGACUUCUUACUAACAAAAGAAUAUCUACCAGAUAAAUUGAGGAGCAAUUCUCAAAGUGCAGGCAAAUCCCAGUCCUAAAAUCUGAACACAUGAGAGAAUGAAACUGACAACACAUAUUUUGCACAACCAUGAUUCAGGAAAAUAUAAUUAGACUUUAGGGUUCAGGAAUAAAAUUACCCGGAAAACACAUAGAUCUUCUCUAAGGAAUGACAAUAUCAAUAUAUCAGAGUUCAGAAAUAAAAUUAACAGUUUCAUAGGAUUUAGCACUUAGAAAUGACCAAACUGGCAUGUAACAGCAUACUAGAAAAAACAGCCAACAUGUAGUCUGGCAAACAACACCAAAACAAGGAAGUACCCAGCUUAUCAGACAGAGUGAAAACUUUGUUGCGCCAUACACAGUAACCAAUUUCCUUGGCCCGUUUUCGGUUCAAGUAAAUCUGAAAUUAGUUGGCACUUCCCCUUUGCAAGCAGUUGCAUAGUCUUCAGCGAGGUGUGGUGCAGCUUCCUUGUGAGGGCAUA
rnacentral:lncRNA from 1 species